AAAUCCAAAUAGACUUCAUAUACAAAUUAUCAAUGUUUGAAUGCUUGUCUGACUCCCCAAUCUGACAGACGAACCACCACCAGUUUUGUGCAGGUUGUCUCAUCACUCAUCUCCUGUCUUGCCUUUUUGCGUUACUUACACUUCCAAGGUCAUUUACGUACCAAAAACUAAUUCCAAAAUCAUCAGACUGUAAGUCACACAUGGACAGAAGAAAGAUCAAAAAGUUUUCAUGGUUUCCAAGGUGCCGGAGGUGGUGGUGGUGUGGGAAACAUUGGUGGAACUGCAGAAAAAAUGGUAUUCUUGUCAAUCCCGGUUGCCUUGUCACCAGACAAUGCCACGAGUGCAGCAACCAACCCUGCGUUGCCUGCUAGAGUUGGCUCCGUGUAGUUGUAGUUGGUGCGAACAUCACGAAACCCAUCAUGCUUGUCAGGUCCAGCUACCAUGGCUCCCACAAGUGUGUUGGGGUUUGGUUUUGACGUAUCCCUCCAUUUCCAUCCCCCUUUACAGUUAUAUUUGAUCUUAUUCUUAGGGAUAGAUGCACCUCUAUGGUGAACAUGCUUUGGAUAAUGGUUACCAAAGCCCACAACAUAGCUCAGUUUUCGAGGAUUUUUGCCAAGGAUAUAAUCAAUCUGAACAAAAUGACAGGCAUAAAACAAAAUUAUUGGCCACCAUGCCUUAGUAUGUCCCCUAAACUAUGGUUCGAAAAAGAACAGCCUACAACAUACCUGGGUUUUGGCAAAUUCACGCAGGACAUCAGUUGAAUAGAAAUUGGGACCACAAUACCAUCCAGGUGUAUCAGCAGCAUCAAGAUAAUCACUAUAUAGGGCGGCUAAGAAGGCUGCAUUGACUACGUAUUGCAGUGGCUGAGGCCUUCCAUGGUUUAACUGAAUCAAACCUCCUGUAUUAUAUCCAAAGUUAACAUGAUCAUGGAAAAGAAAAUAACCAACACAUUUGAGUAUUACAUGGUCAACCAAAAGAGCAGAUAAGUUUACCUUUUGUUCUAUUAAAGCUAGUGAAAACUGGAAGGAAUGAGCACAUAAUUAUGCUGGUUUGAUUAUGAAACGUACUCAAUAUUUCCUCAUAUGGAUACCCAGGACUCAAAAACAAUCUCAAUCGGCUCAGAAGCACCUAAAACACAAAUUUGGUUACAUUAGCAACGAACAAGGAAGCUAUUUCCAAGAAGCCUGUAGAUAGACAAUCACAAAAUUAAUAACCCUAGGCUAGAGGCAAAUUGUGGCAAGUACAAUACAGUUGCUGCAAAAAUAGAUGGAUAAUUGGCCCAUCUAAAUAGAUUGCAUAUCCAAGUAGCAACUUUAACAGCCUUGAAACUAGUAAAUAGGAUCCUGAAAAUGUGUGAUUGUAAAUAUCAUACAAUACAAAUAGUUUAGGCUAGAAAAGACAAGGAGGCUACAAGAUACGAGAUAACUGAUGAGUGGCGGCGAUGCUUCAAAUAAAGUUGAGACUACACAAUAUAGAAGAUAAACAAGUUGUUAAUGAAAUUGAAAUUCAAUAUUGAGUCAUACUACGAACAUAAGGGAGAAAACUGGAUGAAAUUUUACAGAUGCCUUAAAAGAAAGAUAAUUGAUUGAACCAAGAAAUUUAACAAAUUCCAAGUUAACUUUAGCUGGGAAAAUGUCUUUAUAUCAAAUAAUCAGAACAUAGCAGAUAGCCAUACAAGGAAUAGAAUUAGAAAGACAAGCACAAGAGUUACCUGAGCACCGGCAAGCUUAUUAUCCCAGCUAAGAACACCAUAAUCUGGGCCGCCCCAGAAAGCACCAGCAUGCUUGGCAAGUUUAGGAUGAGUAGCUAACUGAAGAUAGGAUGAAUUCCCAGUGGCAUAGUAUAACCAGGCUCCACCCCAAACAAACUCAUCCCAGUAACUUGAGGAAUUAUAAAAGAGGGCAGGGUCAGAACCACCAGCACUAUAUCUGCCUCUUUGAUCCCUAGCAAACUUAAAGAGUGUUCGGGCACCAUGGACAAGCUUUUGAGAGUAUGCUUUGUUGUCUUUGAAAACGAUGGAAGCAGAAGCCAAAGCAGCAGCCAUUUCAGCAGCAAGAUCGGAGCAACUAUGACAUUCAUAUACAGGACGGGGGUAAUCAAUGUCCUCAGGGCGCAUCCAGCAAUAAUGAUCAUUUGGGGCUGAACUUCCUCCAGAUGUAUCUCCUAUCCCUACCUGUGAAUCCAUAAGUUAGCAUAUGAUAAUGGGCAAAAGAAGAAGAAUAAAAAAAGGAAUAGCAUUAGUAUUAUGGUCGAUUGCUAAUAUGGUAGCAAUAGGAUUAACACAAAGUAUAACAAUAAAAUUAUACCUGCGCAGCAAUCCUGUCAAUGGUAUCAGCAGUAUUGUUGAAGGUCUUGAGAAGAUAAUCAGUACCCCAUUUGAUGAUCUCUUUAACAUGAUUGAGCUCACCGGCAGCCUCGUAUUUAGCACUGUAUUCGAUGACACUCCAGCUCAACAUAGUCAUUGAAAAGGAUGCAGGAAAGUUAAACUUGAUAGCAUCUCCAGCAUCGUAAUAUCCGCCGACCAGAUCUUUCAUCAAAACGGAGGGAUCGGAUUUGCCAUCUUGGAGGCCCGAGUUCCCUCUCCACGACACAUUAUUAUGCUUGGGCAGCUUUCCAGCUACAGUGGAUUCAUAUAUAUAAGGAUUAUAAAUAAUUCAACGAUACACAAUCAGUAAAUUGUAUGUAUCUACUGCUAUUAUCAUGUUCUAUAAUGCAGGGUUGAUUAGACUCGUGAAUCUAAUAAAUACUCAAUUUAGUAAUCAUGUUUAUUUCCAUUUUGCUUAAAUGGGAUGGGAUCGUAUAGAAGUUGAAUCUAAAUAACAUAAAUUGAAGCUAAAAAGAGAAGAAAAGAAAAAAACUAAACGAAGGGGAGAGAAAACGUACAACGCUGAGCAUUAAAGAACAUGAGCGCCUUGUGAAGAGCCAGAGUGUAGUUAUCGGGCGGAGAGUGGCGGUGGUGAUGACGUGGGACAGUCUUGACGAUGAGGGUGAUGAGUCCGGCCAGGAGGGCGGAGACGAGCAGGGUCCCCACGGUCCAUACAAAGAUCUUGCGGCUCACAAUGAUACAUCCGAGAUCGACGUACUUCUUCUUCUUCUUUUGCUCCCCGGGGCCAAGCAGCCAGCUUUGCUGAGUCUCGUCCAAGGGGCGAGAGAGUGCAGCCCUAUCCAGGUCCUGCAGAUUCCUGCUCCUGUCGUCGUCAGUGGCAGAAUCAGUGGCGUUUAUCUCCAGGGGACCUCCCCACGGAUCUCUGCCGUACAUGAUGAGGAUUUGGAAGAGUAGUGGGCUGAAAAUGCAGGAGCACCGACAGAUCUGAUCUACCAAGACGAAGCGGAAGGUGUGUUUGAUAAAUAAAAUGUGUAUAAGUAGGCAGUGGGUGCUUUCUUUAUUGGUUUUCCAAAGUGGACUUGAGUUAUGAGUUAAUGACUAUUCAGAGAUUCGGAUGGUAAUAUUGAGCUGUAUGAUUUGGACGGUUGCUUUGCUGUACCCAAUCAUACACCUUAUUAUUAUUUACUAUUAAUUAUUAAUUUAUUAAAAAUCUUAUUUUUGAUUAUUUAACAUUUACUUAAUUUACAAAAUUUCCGUCUUUUGUAAUCUUCAAACCAAUUAAAAAACUGAAUUAAGAAGUCACAAGAUAUAAAUAAAAAUAUAUAUUAAUAUUAGGCGCGGUUGAUGAAACUGAAAACAAUACAAAGUAUAAGGGACAACGACAGCCAACCAGUUUGCCGUAACGACAGCCAAACCGAAAUCUUAUUAUUAUUAUUAUUAUUAUUAUUAUUAUUGCAUUCCACAUUUCAACUAACGGUAGGUAAGAUGUAACCUAAUUAUCUAGGUUUUAACACAUGCUUUGCAUUUCUCUGCUUUCUCUCCUAUUUUUAAUAAAAUUGCUUUGAAUUAACAAUGUUAUUAAAAAUUGUAAAUUUUUAAGAUUUGGGAAAAAUCGGUUGAAGAGAAUAAAAUUUUAACUACUAGAAUAAGUUAGGUUUAUAUAUCGAAGAUAAUUUUCAUCAUUCAUUGAUUAAGCGGGAUUAAAUUAAAUUUAUUAUCUAGAUUUAAUUGAGGCACCGGAAUAUUUAUUAAAGGUAUUGUUAGUUUUUUUUUUGUGAUAAAUUUAUGCUCCUUUAAAUAUAAAUUACUAUUAAAAAAAUUCUCUUUUAUGUCGAAUAAAUGAACUAUUUAUUUUUGGCCAAAAUAUGAAUUAUUUAAUAAAUUAUUUUCAUAAAUAGCUUCAACUUUUAAUUUUGUUUGAACGUAUAAUUCUAACGAGAGCAAACAUACAAACUUCAUAAUGAUGUUAAUCAUCUCUACCCUUUUUUAUUCAACAGACACCAGAAGGGCUUUCAGAAAAAAAUAUCUAUACCGACACUAGAAGACGUCCGUUAUGACUUUUAUUUAUUUAUGUAUUGUAUUGUAAGUUUUGGAUGAAUCUACCUGAUUAAAUAAUUUAAUUUUUAUAUUAUUAAAAAAAUUAAAUAAGUCUAUAUUUCAAUAGUAUUGAUAUUUAUUGUUUCAAAAUUGUCAUUUAUUAUUAACAAAGUAAGUAUUUUGAAUUUUAUGAUUCUCAAAAUUUUAUAUUUAAAGUUAAACUGUAAAAAAGAUAUUUCUUAUCAUUUUUAACUGUAGAUACUUUAUUACAAAUUGGGGUUUAUUUAAUAUCUUUUAAUAAUAUAAAAUAAAUUAAUAAAUUUAUUAGUAAAUGGAUUAAUUUGAUUCAAUUAUAAUAAAGGGACUUUACAAGUGCUUUCACCAUAUGUUCUCUUCCUUCCAUCUUCUGCUUUGACACUUCGGCUAGGUCCAAAAUGGCAUUGUUUCUGUGAGGUUCCAAAAAUUUGAUAUACAAUUUGUGUCAUUCCGAAUUAAGUUGUUAUGAUCCGAAAUUCUUGAUGUUAGAUUUCAUGAAAUUUUAGUUAAAUACUACGAAGUUUAUUGACAAUCAAAUUACGAAUUGAAUACCAAAAUCGAAUUUUCAAAGUUAAAAGUUACUUUUGAAGUUUUUUAGGAAUUAUCGGGCUUUUAAUAGGGUUUGGAUUAUUUUUAAGAAGAUGCAUGGUUAAGAAACCUUGAAAUUGAGGACUAAAUUGAAAAUGAGAAAAAUUGGGGAGGCUUAAUGAAAUUAAUUACACAAGAAAAGAGGUGGUGUAACACCUCGUACCUGUAUUCAUCGUUGAAACAAGGUAAGAAGUGUUAUCAAACGAUCAAAUUAUUUUUUUUUGCAAAAAUUUUGACAUAGUUUCUUUUCAUAAAUAUUCAAUUCCUCCUGCAAAUUUUCGAAACACAAUCUCAAGCAACAUCAAUAUUUCAACCAAAUACAAUCAUAUAUUCAGACACGAUUAAUCCAUUCAUAACAUCCUAAACUAUAUGGACAAUAGAUUUACGGAAAUAAUUCAUCAAUUAUAGAUACUAACAUUUUAAACCAAACCACAUUUUAUACAUUUAUAUAUAAGUUUAUACUACAUUGCAUUAAGUCAUCUAUACAUGCCAUUUUUCAAAAGGAUUGGUUGCAAAAUACCCAAGAGUUGAUGAUGAUAGUGAGGAUGAUGUUCUGACUCUGUCCAAUUCCCGAGCUGAUUAAUAUCACUAUAAAACAAAGGAAAAAGUAAGAGGAGUAAGCUUAUAGCUUAGUAAGUAUGUAUGUAAUUGAUAAAUAAAUUUCUGGAAUAAUAUCAUAUAUUAUAUAAUUUAUACCACACACAAAUCUAUCAUUUAGUCAACUUCCAGCAAACUGUUUUUCUGCAUUAUAGCCGCUAAAUUAUUUUUAUCCGGAGUUGCAGAACUCAAAAUUAAGAUCUGUAAAUUUUCUCUGAAACUAGACUCAUAUACCUUCUUACCAUAAAAUUUUCAGAAUUUUUGGUUCAGUAAAGUAGUACAGUUUAUUCUCUAAAUAUUCCCCUGUUUCACUAUUUGACACUUCUGACCUCUCAUUACUAAAAUUUAUUUUACUCUUUGUAAAAAAUUCAAACAAUGUUCUCGUUUCUUUCUCUUAAAAAUAGACUCAUUAAGGAAUUCAAGAAUGUAAAUUUCAAGCCAUAAUUAUUUUUUAAAAAUUUUUGGUUAUUUUCGAAAGUCGGAACAGGGGAUUUCGAAAUCAACCCAACCCUGUCUCAAUAAAGUUUAAAUAUCCCCAAAUAUACAACUCCUUUGCUUACUUUGUUUCUUCCAUAUGAAAAUAGACUCGUUAAGCUUCAAUUUCAUAUAUUAUUUAGCCUCUAACUCAAUUUCUAUAGUUUUUGGUGAUUUUUCAAACUAACAUCACCAUCACUGUCCAAAUCUGUUCUAUUCCAAUAUUCCUUAUUCACAUAGCACUAUAGCCAUUUAUUUUAUAACACAACACAAACUUCAUCACUUCAAUCACUUUUCACAACUUAUUACAUUCCGAUCACAUACUCAUAUUUCAUCAUCAUGACGGUUUAAAAAAAUAUUCGGAGCUUUUCACACAGUACAACUCAUAUUAUUUUUUAUCAUUCGAUACACGUAGUAGCCUUCACAUAGUACUACACACGUGAUCAGUUUUACAGUUCACGUAGUAGCCUUCACAUAGUACUAUACACAUGAUCAAGUUUUACGGCUCCCGUAGUAGCCUUCACAUAGUACUACACACGUGAUCAAGUUUUACGGCUCACGUAGUAGCCUUCACAUAGUACUACAUACGUGACCAAAGCUUUUCGGUACCCAUUGUAGCCUUCACUUAGUACUACACAUGUAACCAUAGUUUACUGAUACACGUAGUAGCAUUCACACAGUACUACACACGUGCUCAAAGCUUUUCGGUACACAUAGUAGCCUUCACUUAGUACUACACAUGUGACCAUUAUUUAUCGAUACACGUAGUAGCCUCCACACAGUACUACACACGUGUUCAUCGACACCUUAUUCAAAUCUUUACUCAAAUAAAUUUAUAAUUUGUCCAAAACACAUUAUAAUAUUAACCUUUCACGUAUAUUGUUACGAAACAUAACAAAAAUAAUUAUAACAAUGUAAUAAUUACAUUCAACUUACCUCAAUACAAAAUGUAAAGAUUUUGCAAUUUAAUCCUCAAUCUUCUCUUUCCCCCGAUUAAGGUUGAUUUCUCGUCUUUCUUAAUCUAUAACAGCAAAUUGAGCUUUUUUAAUAUUCACAUUUAUUAAAACAAGCUUCGACUCAACUUUUAUAAAAUUACAAUUUUGUCCCUAAACUUUUGCAUAAUUACAUCUUUGUCCCCAAGCUCGAAAAUUAAAUUUCACACCUUAUUCUUAUGUUUUACAACAUUCUGAACACUUUUCCCUUCUAUGGCAACAUCAAAUUCUCACUGUAACAUACACUUAUGAACAAUAAAUAUUUUUACCGAUUAUGUCGAUUAACUCGUUUUUGCUUAAAACCACUUAGCAAAAGUUGUUUAACAUAAUUUCUAGCUUCAUAUUCCACCAUAAAACAGCAAAAUAAACACACUUCACGUAUGAGUAUUUUUCCAAAUAUAAACCCUAACAUGAAUUAUUGAUAGAAUAAGCUAAACCGAGCUACGAGGAUUUCAAAAAUGCGAAGAACAUUAAAAACGGGGCUAAGAUGCACUUACUAUGAGCUUGAAAAAUCAAAGAAACCCUAGCUAUGGUGUCUUCCAAUUUUUGGCAGCAACUUAUGGAGAAGAUGAUGAUUUUUGCCAUCUUUUUCCCUUUUCAUUCUUUUUAUUACCUAAUGACUAAAAUGCCCCAUUUAAAAAAAAUUCAUUUCACCCAUUUCUUAUGACUAUCUUUGUCCAUCAAUUUACUAAUGGUCUAAUUACCACAUAAAAACCUCCAAUUUAAAAUUUCAUAACAAUUAGACCCCUCUAAGAUGUAGAACUCAACUUUUGCACUUUUUACAAUUUAGUCCUUUUGACUAAAUUAAAUGCCCAAAUGUCAAAAUUUUCGAACGAAAUUUUUACGAAAUUUUUCCGUGAAAUUAUAGACCUUAAAAAUAUAAUGAUAAUAAUAUUUUCCCUCGUCAGAUUUGUUGUCCCGAAACCACUGUUCCGACUAAACCCAGAAUCGGGCUGUUACAACACUCCCCCUUAGGGAUUUUCGUCCUCGAAAAUCUUACCAGAAAAUAGGUUUGGGUACUGUUUCCUCAUAACUUCCUCCGGUUCCCACAUAGCCUCUUUCAUUCCAUGUUUUUGCCACAACACUUUCACUAAUGCUACACUUUUAUUUCUUAACUGUUUGAUCUCUCGGGCCAAAAUCUUUAUCGGUUCCUCCUCAUAAGUCAUAUCUGGCCGAAUUUCAAUCUUAGUAGGAGAAACUAUAUGUGAAGGAUCUGAACGAUAGUGCCGCAACAUCGAUACAUGAAAUACAUUAUGUAUUCUUUCCAACUCUGCUGGCAAAGCUAACCGAUAAGCUAUGGGUCCAAUCCUUUCAAUAACUUCAUACGGUCUAAUAAAACGUGGACUCAAUUUGCCUUUAUGGCUAAAUCUCAAAAUCUUCUUCCAUGGAGAUACUUUUAAGAACACUUUAUCACCCACUUGAAACUCAAUUUCUUUUCUCUUUAAAUCCGCAUAUGACUUUUGUCGAUCUGAAGCAGCCUUUAAGCAGUCACGAAUUACUUUCACCUUUUCUUCAGUUUCUUUCACCAAAUCAACUCCGUGAAUCUGAUUCUCACUGAGCUCAGUCCAAUACAAAGGUGUUCUACACUUACGUCCAUAUAAUGCUUCGUACGGUGCCAUUCGUAUACUCGACUGAUAACUAUUGUUGUAAGCAAAUUCAACCAAUGGUAGAUAUUUCUCCCAAUGGCCUUCAAAUUCCAGAAUACAGCACCGGAGCAUGUCUUCAAGAACUUGAAUCACUUUUUCAGAUUGUCCGUCGGUUUGCGGAUGGAAUACAGUACUAAAAUUCAAUUUUGUACCCAGGGCCUCUUGCAACUUUAUCCAAAACCUCGAAGUAAACCUCGGAUCUCUAUCCGAUAUAAUGGACUUAGGCACCCCGUGCAAUCUCACAAUUUCAGCAACAUAUAGCUCCACCAACCUAUCAAGUGAGUAAUCUAUGCAUACCGGUAUAAAAUGAGCCGACUUUGUCAAUCUAUCAACGAUCACCCAAAUAGCAUCCUUCUUCCUUGGAGUCAGAGGUAAUCCUGUCACAAAAUCCAUCGUGAUGCUGUCUCAUUUCCACUCUGAAAUCAUUACCGGUUGGAGUAAACCCGAUGGUACUUGAUGUUCAGCUUUCACUUGUUGACAAAUUAAACAAUUUAAUACAAAUUCCGAGAUAUCCUUUUUCAUGCCCGACCACCAAUACAAUUUCUUCAAAUCAGUAUACAUUUUUACACUACCUAGGUGAACUGACAAAUCACCACUGUGUGCCUCACAUAAAAUGGUCUGAAUUAAUUCAUUAUUUUUCGGUACACAUACCCUAUUCCGGAACAUCAGGCAAUCAUCUGAACUAAUUCAAAAAUCUGAGUCAACACCUGCUUCGUACUGAGCUCUCCUAGCUUGCAAUUCACUGUCAUUCUUUUGAGCUUCCCGAAUUUGCUGAAGGAAUAAUGGUCUAGCCCUCAAUUUAGCCAAAAUUGAACCAUCAUCAGAUAAGGUUAAUCUUGUACUCAUAGCUCUCAAAGCAAAUAAAGAUUUUUUGCUCAAAGCAUCAGCAACCACAUUAGCUUUUCCGAGAUGAUAAUCAAUCACUAGCUCAUAGUCUUUUAUUAGCUCAAGCCAUCUUCGUUGUCGCAAAUUCAAGUCUUUUUUAUUCAUUAAAUACUUCAAGCUCUUAUGAUCAGUGAAGAUUCGGCAUUUCUCACCUUACAAAUAAUGGCGCCAAAUCUUUAAAGCAAAAACAAUGGCAGCCAACUCUAAAUCAUGCGUUGGAUAAUUCUUCUCAUGCGGUUUUAGCUGUCUCGAAGCAUAAACUAUUAGUUUGCCUUCUUGCAUUAACAUACAUCCAAGACCAUUCAAUGAUACAUCACUGUAAACUACAAACUCCUUCCCUGACUUAGGUUGUACCAACACUGGUGCCUCCGUCAAUAAUGCCUUCAAUUUCUUGAAACUUUGUUGACAUUUAUCGGUCCACUCAAACUUAACAUUCUUUUGUAGCAACUUAGUCAUAGGAGAAGCAAUCAUUGAGAAUACCUUGACAAAACGUCGGUAAUACCUGGCUAAACCCAGAAAGCUUCUAACCUCAGACACAUUCUUUGGUGGUUCCCAAUCCACAAUUGCUGAAAUUUUGUUCGGAUCAACCCGAAUACCGUCACUUGAAACUAUGUCCCAAGAAUCUAACUUCACGAAGCCAAAACUCACUUUUGCUGAAUUUAGUAUACAAUUUCUUCUCCCUCAGAAUCUGCAACACAGUUCUCAAAUGUUCUGUAUGCUCAGAUUCAUCCCGAUAAUAAAUUAAAAUAUUAUCUAUGAACAACACCAUAAACUUAUCCAGAUACGGCCAGAAAAUUCAAUUCAUCAAAUCCAUAAAAAUAGCCGGAGCAUUAGUUAAACCAAAAGGCAUUACCAGAAAUUCAUAGUGUCCAUACCUCGUUCUGAAAGCGGUCUUUGGCACAUCGAACUCCUUAACUCUCAACUGAUAGUAACCAGAUCUCAGAUCAAUCUUUGAAAACACUGUUGCUCCUUUUAGUUGGUCAAAAAAAUCAUCAAUUCUCGGCAAAGGAUACUUGUUCUUUAUAGUCACUUUGUUGAGCUGACGAUAGUCAAUACAAAGUCUCCUAGAGCCGUCUUUCUUUUUCACAAAUAAUACAAGAGCACUCCAGGGAGAAAAACUCGAUCUCACAAAUCCUUUAUCUGUCAAUUCUUGUAGCUGAGCUUUUAAUUCUUUCAACUCAGUCGGAGCCAUCCGAUAAAGAGCAAUAGAAGUCGGUGCAGUAUCAGGUAACAAGUCAAUAGCAAACUCAACUUCUCUAAUUGGAGGUAACCCAGGCAAUUCCUUUGGAAAUACAUCCGAAAAUUCGCAGACUACCGGCACUGAUUCAAGCUUCGACCCGGUUAUACCAGUAUUCAACACAUAAACAAGAUAAGCUUCACAUCCCUUUCUCAUGUAUUUCUGGGCUGACAUGUGUGAAAUCACUAUAGGCGAUUUAUUCGGCUCUUCCGCUUCAACCCGAAGAAUUUCACCAUUUCCACAUUUCAAUUCAAGGAUUUUCUGUCUACAAUUUACCUUGGCAUCAUGCAAAACCAACCAAUCCAUCCCCAAGAUAACAUCGAACUCAUCAAAUGGUAAGAGCAUCAGAUUAGCCGGGAAACAGUAACCUUGAAUCAUCAAAGGACAAUUCUUGCAAACCUUAUCAACUAAAACAUAUUUGCCUAAAGGGUUUGAUACUUUUACCACAAAUUCAGUGUUUUCAACAGGCAAAUUUUUAUUAGAUGCUAAAUUCACACAUACAUAUGAAUGAGUAGACCCAGGGUCAAUCAAGGCAACAACAUCAAUAUCAUAAAGAGAAUAUGUACCAGUAAUCACAUCGGGAGAUGAUGCAUCCUCACGAGCACGUAUGGCAUAAGCUUUAGCAGGUGUUCGAGGUUCUAAUUUUGUAGCUAUACCCUUCAUUCCACUUUUACCACUAUCUCUAGUUCUGGUGUUUCUCGAUGGUCUACCUCUGCUAAUAGUAUCACUCGAUCUAACAUUCUGAAAUUUUUCUUCUUUAAUUUUCUCAGGGCAAUCUUUAAUAUAAUGUUGUCGAGAACCACACUUGAAACAAGCCCGGCUAAUUAACCAGCAUUCACCAGGAUGUUGUCUUCCACAAUGCUGACACUCUGGUCUACUAGGGUUUAUACUACCCACACUUGAUAUCGAUGUAGCUUGAGCUUCGGAACCCAAAUACAAUUUCCCCGGUCUCGACGUGAAUAUCCAGUUGAAGUAGUCACUCUAGGAUUCAUCUCUUUAGACUUCUUUGACUGAGUUUGAAAUGGUUUACUCAUAGGCCGCUUCCUUGUAUCUUGAGUCUCCAUCGCCGCUUUUCUCUUUUCUUUAUUCAAUUCUUCAGCCUUACAAGCUCGAUCAACCAAUACUACAAAUUCCUUCAGUUCCAACAUCCUAACAAAUAUUCUAAUGUCUUCAUUUAAACCAUCUUCAAACCUUUUACACAUAGCAGCUUCGGUGGGUACACAUUCUGGAGCAUAUUUACUCAUUCUAACAAACUCUCUUUCAUACUUAGCCACGGACAUUCGGCCCUACUUCAACUCGAGAAAUUCCUUGCGUUUUUGAUCGAUGAACUGUUGGCUUAUGUAUUUUUUUCUGAAUUCAUCCUGGAAGAAUUUCCACGUAACCCUUUCUUUCGGAACCACAGAUACCAAUGUUUUCCACCAAUGAUACGCUGAAUCUUUUAACAAAGAUAUUGCACACUUUAAACAUUCUUCGGGAGUACAAGACAAUUCAUCAAAUACCCGAAUGGAAUUUUCAAGCCAAAACUCUGCCUUUUGUGGGUCAUCAUCUAUAUUAGCUCUGAAAUCUUUAGCUCCAUGCUUUCGGAUUUUGUCAACAGGAGGCUUACUUGAUCUUACCAAGUCAACAUUUUGUGGAGCUGCGAGAACCGGUUGAGGAAUAGGAUGGGUGGAGGGGGUUGAACAUUCAGAUUUGCACGAACAAAUUUUGUAUACCAAUUACUCAUCAUUCGAAGGAAAGCUUCCCGAGCCUUAUCCUGACUAUGUGUCUCAUGUCUACUUUCUUCAUGCGCGGUCCCUUGUGCGGGAGCCGGCGUGUUACUUUCAACAUCAUCUGCCACACUUCGAUCAAGAUCCAUUUACUAUAUAAAACAAAAUUUUAAAUUGUCAGAAAUAAUCUCACUAUGACAAUAUUUAAAUGGCAUGUAUAGAUAGACUUUUACACACAUUAUACUAAUCCGAGAACUGGCUAAACCAUAGCUCUGAUACAGGUGGCAUUACAGGUGGCGUUGUUGUUUUUAUAAUUCUCAUCAUCAUCAUCAUUCAAUAAGAUUUAUAUAUAAUUUAAAAUUUAUAAAAUUUUUUAAUUAAUAAUGGUAAAAUUGUAUUUUGGCCUCCCAAAAAUGAUAAAAUUUUAAUUUAAGCCUUUAAAAAUUAUAAAAAUAUAAACUCUUAAAAUGGUGAAAUUACUUGCUAGAGAACUGCUUACUAGUGAUUUAUCUUUUUUCAUGUUUUAGAUGUUUGUUUCAUUUCUUUAAUAUAAAAAAUUAAUAAAAUUACAUUUUUAAUAUCAUAAAAAUAUAUAAUUUAAUUUUGAUGCCCGAAAAAUUUUCUGACUUCACACAUGUAUAUAAAGGUUUUUAUUAUGAGUUUUAUUGUUGUUGUUAUUAAUUAAGAAAAUAAUAGAGUUUUAGUUAAAUUUGAAUCCUACUGUGACCAAAGUCAAAUUUAUUUUCAUCAAGUUACUUCAGCAAUCAAAACUCUUAGUUUUUCUCCAAUACAAAAAUUUUCAUUUGUUUCCUAUAAUAAGGACUUGAUAAGAACUUUCCAAAAAUAAAGUUUUUUUUUUCAAAUUGAACUUUUCACAAGCACUUCUUAUAAUAAUAAUGUCAAAUUAACUCUCAUAUCACAAUAAUUCUCUUACACUCCACCAAACCCCCAUUUCUCAAACAUUUACAAUCAUGCAUCAUAUAUAUAACGUAUAUAUAUUCAUGUAACUUCUGUAACAUCUCAAAAAUUGGGGUUAGUAGAAUCGGGUUUGUAAAUCAAGAGAUAGUGGUCAUGGCUUAAUUUUUAAGAUUAUGUAUGCAUUUUUAAGAAAUAAAUGAGGUAUUGGUUUGUUGGAUAAGUGCUAGUGAAACAUUCUUUGGAACCGAAGUUCAAAUCUCUUCUCUCUCACCAUUUUUAUUAUUUUGUAAAUUUUGCCUUAAACCCUAGUAUGCGACAUGCCUUGUUUUUAAAAUAAAUAUUGAAAAAUUAUUUCAAUAAUGAGGAAGAAGCUUAAUAUUUAAAAGAAAUAUGAGAAAACAUGGAAAUGAAAUGAGGUCCCAAGUUUAAAUCAUUUCUCUUGCGAAAUAAUUUAAAUUUUGGCAAAAAUCCCUUGUUAUUAUUGAGUGUACCACCCAAGCCUAGUAACCCUAGGUAUAAAUGUUAAUAUUUCACAAAUAAUCAGCCUUAAAUCCUCCUCUUCAUUUCCCUAGUUUUUCAUUCCUCCUCUCCCUUUCUUUGAUCUUAUUGUUUUUCCUUUCCUCUAUUAAUGCUGUCGCAUACACCUCCCAUUUUACAAUCUUUUUCUUUUUAUUUUUGCGUCAAGAUUGUGUACCAUCUUCUUUAUUAUAUCAUUUCCAUUUAUCAUCAUCUAAAUCAGCCCCAAAUCUAAAAUCUUGAACACCAAGAACGGAACAUUGCUAAGAAAGUGUCAUUGUCGUUUCUCUCAACUAGCUUGGGGAGAAAAGUUCUUGAUCAAUUAGCCAAUUGGAUCCCACAAAUCGUGAAGUGUGCUGACCCAAACGUACCAAUAAUCAAUAAAGGAGAAGAACAAUUGUACAUACAGUUCGCAUCGAUACAGUGAAUUAUUAAGGAAAAUUAGAAGAUUCGCUAGUGUGCUGCGAGGAAGCGAAAAAUAAGGUGUGGGUCUAAACUCAUAAAAUUGUUUGAAAAUGUUAAAUAUCAUGCUAUAUUUGAUAAAUUAGACUACUGAUUGGAUUGGCUUAAUAUCCAAAUUAUUGAUUUUAUGAGUGGUCGAACCAGGUAUGUUUCGAGACUUAAAAGAUUGACAUGUUGGAAAAAUUGCUAGUUUGAUAGUAUGAAUGUUUGAUUGAGUUUGUAAUUGUAUAUUUGAGUCAUGAGGUAUGAGAAUUUUUGACUGAAUGAGAUAAUGUAUUGAGAUAUUAAGCUUAUGUAUGAUUUAAAUGCAUGAGAUAUUUGUUAUAUUGUGUAUUGAAAAUGGUGUUAUAUAUGCACAUUGAAAAUUUGUAAAGUAUGUGAAACUGAACGAUAUUGAUUGAUACCAACACAAUUGUAAUUUGAAAGAUUGGAACACUAUUUCCAUUUACUGAAAGUAUGUGAUUACAGAGGACAUGCUUAGCAUGUCAAAUGGAUGUGAAAAGUAUUGAGAUAUGACUAUGUAUGAGAUUGUGUGACAUAUGGCAUAAGCAUUGGGUUGGGAUUUUGUGGUUGAUGGAGGAGUUUUGUGGAGUACCAGUGGCAUAUUAAGUCCACAUUAUUCAAAGUUAGUGCACUGCACUUGGAGUAUCGAGGGGAAUGGCGAUUUAUCGCAUUUUUACUGGCAACUUGUCUGCAUUCUUACUGGCAGAAUUUUUUGCAUAUUGUUAUUGGUGGUUUUAACCAUAACGGGUUUAAGCCUAUAAUGUUUUGGAGUUCGGCUAACAGGUUCUGGGGAAUUCAUAGUGUGUAGUGGAUGGUAUGGGUAUGAACCUUUUCGUAUUGCAUCAUGUGCACGACAUAUUCGAAUGUUAUUGCUACGUAUUGUAUUUUAUUGUAUUGAAUGGUAUCAAAAUUAAUGAUUGUUACUCAAAUGAGUGAUGACCUAUACUCAUACAUCGUUGGGCAUCAAUUUGAUAAUGGUUAUGUAAUGAUAUGAAAUUUCUAUGAUCAUUCUGUAUUCUUUUAUUAAUGCUAAUUUAUUUCACUUUAUUCAAUAUUUAUGCUUGUUUAAAUGAUUGUUCGACUCACACUGAGCUUUUCAUAAGCUCACCCCCAAUAGUGUUUAACUUUUCAAGUAAACCUUGAAAUUAGGACAAGACUCGGCAUUUGGAGAAUCACCUUGGACCUCAGAUUGUUUUUUUAAUAAGUAUUAAUCAAUCUCUAAUGGUUUUAGUUUAUAAUUUUUAAUGACUUCUGGUUUGUGGCUUGGUAACUUUUCUUUUGGGAUAUUUGCAUGCAUGGAUUACUCAAGCAUAAUAAUAGGAUAAUGCAUGAUAUCGGGCUUAAGUAAAAUUUGAUAUUUUUUCCUAGUUUCCCCUGCAUUACAAAUGAACCGUUUUUGAAAAACAAAUCAAUAAGGCAAGUAAGUUUCCAAAAUGACUUGAAAAAUAGUUUUUCCUCUACAUUAGUUUAACAUUGAGUAUAUUUUUUAAAGAAGAGAGACAAGCAAAUGGUGUUUUCUAAAACAAUACUAUCAAUAAUAAAAUGAAUCUUAAGCAUACAUGACCUAAUGAAUGAAUGCUUUUAAGCUAAUUUAAAGUACAACUACGAUUUUGUCUAAAGUGAGUUUAUUUAAGGUAUUCAAAAGUAACGUAAGUUAGUUGAGCCAUUUCGAUGGCUAAUGUAGCAUUCUCAAUUUAGUCAUAACGUUUAGGCCGGGUUUUGGAGGUUACGUUUAGUGGUAUCAGAGCCUUGGUUCAAAACCUCGUACUGAGUUUUUAAAUCUAUUUAAGUAAGUCUACAUGCAUGCAUACAUGAAAAAGGGGAAAUUUGGAAAAAUAGGCCACAAUAUAUUUUGAAAAUGAUAUUCUAGAAAGAAAAUCAGGUUUGAGACUCCGAUGUUGGUUGCCAUAGAAAAGAUACUAUGAACUUAUAGGUAAACACUUGAGGUGUAUUACUGUAGACAUAGAAUUGAAAUAGUUAGUAUUUAUUUUUUCUUUGAGAUUGUAAGAUAGGAAACUAAAAAUUAACUGAAGUUAGCUAGUGAUUGUUUUUUUUUGAAAUUGUAGAUCAAAAUUAAGACCAUAGGAUAGAUAAUGAACUACUGUAGAAUGGGGAACCAUGGGGCUCAGCGUCGAGCUGUCAGAUUGCGUCAUUUUCUUUUUAAGGAAUUGUGCCUAACCCUGAGACGAAUGACAUCGUGAUUGCGCCUACUUCUAAAGGUGAAAACUAGGAGGUUGGGGAUGAUGCAGUGUCCCAAGCGAUAUUGGGAGUCUUAGAAAAGGUUUUCAAGAUUAUGGUUGAAAGGACUAAUAUGGAGGGAGAGAGUAAAUACUUAGAGUGCAAGAGAAAGGAAAAGAUUAAAGCUCGAAAAAGGAGAGUGUCUACUUGCACUGGUCCAAAUCUACGACCUUUAAAGUGGGCUAGAGGAGUCAGACCACAACGAAAAGUUGUAGUAGUUAUUAUUGGAGAAAUUGUUAGAUCAGCUAAGGUUUCGAUUUGUAGAUAUUAUGGUAAGCAUAAUCUAGUAGAGUUUCUGUUAAAAUUGAGAAUUGGGGUAAAGGAAUUUGUUAGUAAUGUUUACGUAAUUAGAUCUGCAAGAUAUAUGUUGGGAAUUUUAGAAGACGCAUUGUUUGAAAUUAUGUUGGAAUCAGAGUUGGAUGGCAAAAACUUGGUGGCCCAGUUUGAAGGAAAAUGGGUAAAAUAUUUUAUAACUAAGAAAAUUUCGAGGACCAAAUUUCUUUUAGGAGGGGAGAAUUAUAACAUCUCAAAACUCGGGGGUUAGUAUAAUCAAGUUUGUAAAUUGAGAGAGAGUGUUCAUGGCUUAAUUUUUAAGAUUAUCUAUGCAUUUUUAGGAAAUAAAUGAGGUAUUGGUUUGUUGGAUAAGUGUUAGUGAAACAUUCCUUGAAACCGAAGUUCAAAUCUCUUCCCUCUUACCAUUUUUAUUAUUUUGCAAAUUUUACCUUAAACCCUAUGAUGCAACAUGCCUUGUUUUAAAAAUAAAUAUUGAAAAAUUAUUUCAAGAAUGAGGAAGAAGCCUAAUGGUUAAAAGAAAUAUGAGAAAGCAUGGAAAUUAAAUGAGAUCCCAAGUUUGAAUCCUUUUCUUUGCGAAAUAAUUUAAUUUUUGGCAAAAAAUCCCUUGUUUUUAUUGUGUGUCCACCCAAGCCUUGUAACCCUAGGUAUAUAUGUUAAUUUUUCACAAAUAAUCAACCUUGAAUCCUCCACCUCAUUUCCCUAGUCGUUCAUCUCCUUCUCUCCCUCUCAUUGAUUUUAUUUUUUUAUUUUCCUCCAUUAAUGCCGUCGCCUACACCUCCCAUUUUACAAUCUCUUUCUUUUUCUUUUUUGCCUCAAGAUUGUGCACCCUCUUCUUUAUUAUAUUGCUGCCAUUUAUCCUUAUCUGAAUAAGCCCAAAAUCUAAAAUCUUUAACCCCAAGAUCGAUCCUGAACAUUGCUAAGAAAGUGUUAUUGUUGUUUCUCUCAACUAGCUUAGGGAGAGACGUUCUUGAUCAAUUAGCUAAUUGGAUCCCACAAAUCAUGAAGCAUGCUAACCCAAAGGCCCCAAAUCAUCCGUAAAAGCAAAGGAUGAUUGUACGUAUGGUUCGCAUCGAUACAAUGAAUUAUUAAGGAAAAUUAGAACAUUCGUUAGUGUGUUGCGAGGAAGCGAAAAAUAAGGUGUGGGUCUAAACUCAUAAAAUUGUUUGAAAAUGUUAAAUAUCAUGCUAUAUUUGAUAAAUGAGCUUGUUGAUUGGAUUGGAUUAAUAGCUAAAUUAUUGAUUUUGUGAGUGGCUGAACUAGGUAUGUUUCGAGCCUUAAAAGAUUCUCAGAUUAAACAUAGACAUAUUCAGUUUUCUCUACUUCUCCUUCUUGUUCGGUGGUCAGCUUCUCUGUAGUAGGUUAUUCACCUUCGUCAUCAUCCUUUUUAGGCUCCAACAACAACUUCUUAGGAAAAUCAAGGAAUAAAGGCAUGGGUUUUGUAAAGUUCUUCUGAAGAGAUUUCUUUAGGGCCUUAUCUCUUUAUUGAAUAUACCUCCAAGAGAUAGCCAUUUCCUCUUGAGCAUGACCAAAAUUAGUGGCCAACCUUUAUUGGUGUUUCUCUAGUUUCAAAAAUUGUUGCUGCAAAACCUCUAGAGUCUCGACCACCUACUGCUCAAAUGCAUUCUUAGAGGUUGAUGGAGCAGCAUCAUUGGGCUUGGGUGGAGAAGAUGUCGGGGAAGGAUCUGAAUGCCGUGGCAGUUCUUUUCUAGAAAAUUUCAAAGCAAUAUGCUUAGUGAUAGCACCUUUGUUAGGGAUUCGGUCUUCAUUGGGUUGAAGAGGAAUGCUGACCUUCGGACAAAGUGCAAUGAUAAAUGAUAAAAAAUUUAGAGUAUCGGCAUUUUUCUGAGCAUAGCAAUGGACCUCUCAAAAGAUAAUGUUCCCAACAUUUAUCCUUCAUCCCACCAUAAUCGAAUAGAUUAGUAGCAGAUAGGCCUUUGAGAUUGUAGAAUUGUGGGUGGAUGGAAUGAGACGGUUUUUGAGGAAAUGAUGCCAAAACCUACAGUGGGUCUUCAAAGUUACCCUGUCAAUGGUGUAAUAAUCAUUCCUUGAGACCGUCUAGUUUGUGCCCUCAACACAGACAUCAGUAAGCAUGUGGUUUAAUCUUUCUGCUGUCAUUGUCUUAACAAAAUCAGUGUGUUCAUCAGAACCAUCAAACAAAUCGUAUUGUGCAUUUCUCAAGUCGGCAUCAAAUAGUACUGAAGCACCCCUCACAUAUAUAAAAGCAUUUUUAGGGGAAGUAAGGUAAGCAUAGAACUCAUUUACUACUUUAGGAAAAACAUCGUUAGGAUGGAGACAAAAAAUAUGCCAUCCAUGUUGCUCCAUGACUGAGGAAAUGGCUUCAGUAUAGCCCAUAAAAGGGGCAUCUUGAAAAAGGAAUCCUUUUUCCAUGCACAGAGAGCAUUCAGAGAUUUUUUGGUGGUAUUUGGUUUCUGCUGUCUUAUUGAAGAAUUUACACGGCUGUGCAGUAGUAGAAGUAGAUGGUGCUUAACGAGCCAUUGCAAAGAAGAUGGUAACUGUAAGAGUGAAAAGGGUGACACCUUUAAAAGUUUGGGAUGAAAAUAGAGAGCAAAAUAACAGAGAAAUAAAGUGAAGGUAACAGUGAAGAGGAAACUGAGUCGACUAGGGUAAAAACUUGAAGGGAGAGAAUCUAUGACGUGGGUGAUUGGUUAGGCCUUAAUCAUGGUCUGACAUAAGUACCAGCAAAUAUUUAAGAGGGAAAAAAAUGAAAUACUAAGUAAAUUUAUUAAAAUAAAAAGUGGCUAAGAGAAUGAGUGGGUUGAAGCCUACAAAACUGGGACACAACGUACCUGCAACAAAAAGAAAAUAAAAGUUAACUAAAUUUAUUGAAUCAACUGAAACAAAGACAUUAAAAAUGAAAUAAUUCAAUAAAUAGUGCAGGAGAGAAAUAUUAAUCAGUUUGAAAAAAUGAUGGAAGUUUUAUCACGAAGUAUAGGAGCUCCAAAGUAAUUCUUUAACCGCUGGCCAUUUACUUUGAAAGUAGACCCAUUUAUUUCAUCUUUGACGUCUAUUGAUCCAUGAGGAUAUACCUGAAAAACUUCGAAUGGAUUUGACUAGCGAGACUUUAAUUUGCCAUGAAACAAUUUAAGGCUGAAAUUAAAACGCAAGACUUGUUGUCCAGGAACAAAUUGCCGUGGCAAAAAUUUGUUAUCAUGCCAUCGUUUGUUCUUUUAUUUGUACAGUUUGGCAUUUUCAUAGGCUUGAGUUUGAAACUCGUCCAUCUGAUUCAGCUCUAGUAAGUGAUUAUUUCCAAUAGAUUUGAAAUCCAUAUUCUGUUUCUUGAUUGCCCAGAAUGCCUUGUGCUCAGGAUCAACAGGCAAGUGGCAUGGUUUACCAUAAACAAGUUGGAAAGGUAACAUACCCAAUGGUGUCUUGCAAGCUGUUCGAUAUGCCUACAAAGCUUCAUUCGCGUAAAAAUAUUUUUAUGAAGAAAUUUCAGUACCGAUUUAGUAUAAUUUGUUGGUAGAGUAGAAACUUCAACCCACUUGGAGACAUAAUCAACAACUUGUAUAUAAAUAUUACCCCAAGAAGGUGGAAAUGGCCCCAUAAAAUCAAUUCCCUAAACAUUAAAUAGUUCCACUUCUAAAAUAUUUUGUAAGGGUAUUUCACAUCUUCUGGAUAGAUUUUCAAUUCUCUGACAGUAAUCAUCAGCCUUACAAAAUUCAUGAGCAUCUUUAAAUAUUGUCAGCCAAUAAAAACCAGAUUGGAGAACUUCUGCAACAGUUCAUACACCCCCAAAGUGGCCUCCAUAUGGUGAUUAAUGACAGUGAUACAAAAUACUCUAGAUUUUAUCAUCCGAAAUACAUCUUCGAAUGAUUUGGUUUGCACAUUGCUUGAAUAAGAAUGGCUCGUCCUAGUAGUACUACUUAACAUUGUGGAGGAAUUUCCUUUUUCCUUGACUAGAGAGCUCGGGUGGUAGCAAUCCACACUGACCAGAAAAUUAACAAUAUCAGCAUACCAAGGUAAUGCCAUGGCAACCAACAACUGCUCAUUGGGGAAUUCAUCUUUAAUCAUCUGAAUAUUACCAUAUUGAUUCCCUGCUUCUAGGCGUGAUAAAUGAUCAGCCACUUGAUUUUUUGUGCCUUUCCUAUCUCUAAUCUCAAGAUCAAAUUCCUGCAACAGCAAUAUCCAUCGAAUUAAUCUGGAUUUAGCAUCUUUCUUGGUCACCAAGUACUUAAUAAUAGAGUGGUCCGUAUACAUCGUGACUUCUAGUGCCCACAAGUAAGCUCUGAAUUCGUCGAAGGCAAAUACAAUAGCUAACAGUUGUAACGGGAUUUGUGCACGUGUACACAGUCGUUCAAGUAAUAAGUAAGUAAACAUGAGUUAUCAUCUCCAUAGGGACUCUAUAAGCUUAACCGAUUAAUUGCAAAAUUAUAAUCAACAAUUUAAUGUAAAAAGUCAAUAAUUUGGAUGGUGAUGAUUAAACUAAGUAAAAUUAAUUAGAUGCAAAGAUUGAUCCAUAUAUAAUUCUAAUCUAGAUGUAAUUGAACUAAAUGUUAUGAAUAAAUGGCUUUAGCAACAAAAACAAUCAACAAUAAAUAAGUUAGAAUAAUCAAUUCAAUUUACUUUAUCAUGCUUAACAAUGUUCGAAAAUACUUCCACGGCAACUCGAUCUUUCAUGAGUUUGGAGACCAAAUUAAGUCCUUUUAGAGUCUUUUACUUAGUUAAAUAUGCAUUUUAUUAAUCAUAUUAACUAAGGGUUUCUUAGCAUUUAUGUAAGGUCACAGGGACAUUUACGUUUGAAACAGUUUAACUAUAUAAAAAUAAUGUAAGGCAAUAGAGCUAACUAAAGAUAUUACGAACCUCAAUUUAGUCGGGUUUAAGGAUCUAAAUUGAGCGUUGCACUUUUUAAUUAUAUGUCUACUAGCCACUGACUAGUUAGGAUCGCUCAACUAACCUGAGUACACCCAAUCACGUAUGUAUUAAAUGCAUUAUGAUAUUAAUUGAAAAAUCAACUGAGGCCUAAACAUGAAUAAAAUAGAUCUUAUUGAAUUAACAUAACCAUCCUAGCAAAUACGAUUUAGAAUAUUAUCGUUGAUGUAAAAAAUAAUAAACUCAGAGCAAACAUAAUUAAAAUAGAUAACAAAAGGAAAGAGUAAACUCUAUUCAGUUCAGUAGCCUUUCGGAUCUAUUCUGACAGAUGCGCUCCUUCGUUCUGCUUGAUGCUUCUUUUGCUAAGGAGUUCCUAAGGUGGCCAACCAAAUAAUGCAUUUGACACAACUUUUGUGGCUAAAGGAUGGGAAGGAGAUGGACGUCUAUGCAAGGGGAGGAAAAGGGAAGUGAAAUGUAGAGAAAAUGAGAGAAGAGAAAUGAGUUAUGAGGGAUGUCUUAUGAAUGAGGGAUGAUUUGAAAAGUGAUAGGUACAUGGUAUUUAUAGGUGAAGGUAAGGGGUAGAGUUAGCUAAAAAUAGCAUUUGAAUUCCUUCUUUUUCUACCACACAUGGCCGACCAUAUUUCAAGGAAAAGGAGAUGACUAAGUCUCCUUAGUUUGAAUUCAAACCAAGGCUAUUAAUAGCCAUAAGGGGGGACAGUUUCAACAACAAAGUAGUUGGGCUAAUUUUUAAUUAUUUUCCAACUGUAAGGACCUUCAAUUAAAUGCCCCAAUGCUUGCUUUUGGGCUGCCACCUACUUGUGCCGAAACUGGGCUUUAGAUCCCCCUUGUUGGACGGUUUCUCAGUCCAAUAAUGUAUGAGACAUGUCCAUCCUUUGGCACCUCUUUUACUGGGUCAAACUAUCAACCUCAUGACCCCAAUUGCAUGGUCUUGCCAUCCACAUCAAUUAAUUUGUACAUGUCCAUGUUUCAUUCACAUUAAUCACAUCUUCAAUGUUCCUCCUACAAAGUAAAAAAAAUCACAUAUUAAUAAAUUAACAUGAAAUAAUAUAAAAUAUGUACAAAAAUAAUGUAAUUAAACACAAUUUCACAUACUUUAUAAAUUCAUUCCCAAUAUUACUAAUUAAGUAAAAUUCACUUAUUUUAAUAAUAAUUAUUCAAGAUAAACAUAUUUAUUAAUAAGAUGGUAAAAAUAUAUUGAAAAACCCUAUAUAAUUUUAAGUUUAUAGACCCCCAAAUUUAAACCAUUGCUCGUCCUGAGUAAUGUUCAUACAUAACACAACUUUUGCUAAGGAAAUUUUGCAAAAUGAUAAAAAGGCAUCAAUUUUCUCACAUAAUCAUGUAUUAACAAAAUCGUGCUCAAAAAUACCUUUUACUAAUAAGUAGCUUGAAUGUAAAUAUUAUUUCCAGAUGUUAUACUAAGCACGUCAUAAUGUCAACGUGAUUCAUAGUUUGCAUGCAUUUUCAAAGUCAUACAUAACAUUCACCAAUCAGUAUGCUUUCUUUAUCAACUAAAAAUCACAAUCCCAAUGUUUAAUUAGUGGUCUUCAUAAGUUGAGCUUAGUAAUUCCUCUCCACUAAUGUAGUCGGCAUAAUCAUCCAAUCAAUAGGUCUUUUAUUAGGUUGUAAUAGGGCUAGGCUAAAACUAGGGAUAAAGAGAAGUGAAUUUUGAGGUUCAAUCAUCUUAAUCCUAACUUGUCUUGGAUCUUUCUAUGUCACAACCUUCAUAAAAUUGGGUCUUUGGAACACCUCUAAACUUAUUUCGAGCUCAUGCUCAACCUUUACUAUUUAGACUUUGAGCAAACUUUACUCUUUAUUUUUGAGAAUUUGAGCAAUCUUUUCUUUUCUUUUUAUUCUUUUGAACAAACUUACCUUUGUUUUUUUUUUUGAAUCAUGUGAAGAGCUUGUACAUCUUUUCAUAUCUUUCCUCAAACUUUGAUCACCAAGACAAAUUCAGUUAAUGUAGGUGCAAAAGAAAAGGAUAAAAUAAAAAAAGAUGAUAAUGUGGCUUAUAAUGUACGUACUUUGUAAUAAACAGGCCAUUAAGCUCAAAAAUUUUCAAGGGUUAAUUUAAUAAAGUCGGCUUGCAAGGCUCAAACGAUCCAAAAAAAUGUGCCUAUAUCAUAGUAGAUUCUUAUACCUCCUAGGAUUUCACCUCAAGAAAGUUACUAAGUAAAAUCUAAAUACUUAAAGCUUUAUACAUGUCUAUUUAUAAAGAAAUCAAAUUUUCAUGGCAAAUACUACAUAAGACUAAAGAUAAUACAAGCAUUCCAUCAUUCAAGACAACAUACAAAUAACUUAGAUAAAAUUAGAAAUCAUGCUUGCAUUUGAACAAACUUAUGAACAAAAAUUCUUUCUGAACAUUCAUUCAUUUCAGCAUACUUAAGUAAAAAGAUUGAAAUCAUACUUUAAAAUUCAUGCAAAAUACCUUAUUAAAAAUUCAUGUGAAAUGUCUUACCCCCUUUAAAAAGAAGCAAUGUCCUCAUUGUGAAAACAAAGUAAUGAAUGAAAACUGAACACCAGGUAGGGUUGCAAGAAAAGAGAGGUGAGUCAUAAAGACUACUUAAGUACCAAGUAUUUCUUAACAAUCCAAUCCUAUACAUGUUCAUUCCCAUUAGCACAUCACUUUAUUUUAUUCUAUUAAAGAGGCAUUGAGCUUAUUUAUUCACGCUUGCUAUUUAAUUAUGCAAAAGCAAAAUUCUAACUAAGAAAUAAAAAUAAACACCUAAAAAGAAAUAAAAAUUAAAGAUAAGAAAUUCCCUCAUUUUAUUUAUUUGACUUAUCCUUCUCGUCUUCCUCCUUUGAUGUUUCAUUCUCGCUUGCAUUCUCAUAUUCCUUCCAUGACUCGGAGAUAUAAUCUGGGAACUCAAGAACAAAAUUGUUAGAGAAUUUUAAAAGUAUUUCUUACGGAAUCAUCUCUAACUUUUUCAUAUUUCCAAUAAGCCUGUUGUUGGUUAUGCAUAAAUUUCAUCAUAUCCAUCAUAAUUUACAAUUUCGAUUUCUUUCUAGUGUUUGAAGAAGUGGGCAUAGGAAUAGUCAACUCAAGAUCAAUACUUGGUUCAACUGGCUCAUCAGCAUUCAGUUCCUCUCUUGGUUUAGAGACUUUCAGUUCCUUUAUCGGUUAUAGAUUACUUGGUUCUUCCUCAGAUUCUACUUCUUUUAUCUGAGUAAUCGAGUUAGCCUCUAUUUUGGACUUGUUCCAUGACUUAUCAGUUUCUAGUUCAGUUGGUUCACUUGGUUCAGUUGGGUUUAACUCAUGGGCAUUCUCCACUAACCUUUCAAUAUCAUGGGCUGUGAUGCAACCUUGAACAGAUGGGCCCUUCAAGUUUGCUUUUUUUUUUUAGCUUGGGCCCUUAAGCAAAGUGAAGUUAUCAAUGAUGGGAAAUAAACACUUCUAGUCUUCUUUCUAGCAUAAUUAUGGAUCUCCUUAUGAAUAAUGUUCCCAACAUUGAUAGACUUUUCUGUCAUAAUUGCAUACAAAAAAGUAUUCGCUCCAUCAAGAUGGUGGAACUGUGUGAGAUAGACAUGAAACUAUAUCGAAAAAAAUUAAAACCAUACCUUAGCCAAUAGUUUUAGAUAUUCCCUUUGGCAAGAAUGACUACCAUACUUUCUUAUAAUCCAUUGGGAUCCGGUAUUUGUCAAAAUAUUAAGCACUUAUUGAAGUAAAUCCCAAUUUGUAUUUGUCAUCAUGGCAAAGUACUCAUCUUCUUCAACAUCAGUUAGGUUAAACAAAUCAUUAAUGGAUUUACAAGUUAGGGAUACUUUUUUCUUGCGGACAACAACUUCAGUAGCAUCUGACUUAGUCAAACUAGCGUAAAACUCUUGAACUAACUCCUCAUCGGGUAAUGAUCGUGCAUCACAAAAAUAAUUCCAAUUGAGGGCAUCAGUUUCAAAUUGGCCAAGGCACAACCAUCUUAUUAUUGCUCUCUAAGUUGAAAACUUUUUUUGGCAUCAUAGGUUGAUUUUUGAAGAUGGAAUCAAACCAUUCUUUCUCUUCUUCAUCUUGAAUCACAAUGUGAUUUUCGACAGAGGUCUUGGAAGAUCUAGUUCAUCUGCGAGACUUGGUGAUUUUUCUUAAAAAAUAGGGAAAAAUUAGGUAAUGGAUGAAAUAAGGUGUUUGCGGUAGUGAUAGGAUGUGACGGUAAUAGGGUUGUUCUGGCAAAAGGCUCGUAACGGUAAUAAGCUAGGGUUUUUGUAACAAAGGAAGGAAAUUUGGGGAGAUUUUAAAGAUUUAGGCUGACAGCUAAGAGGGAAAAAAGUAGUUAGGGUUUAGGCUAAUUUCUUGAAGGGUUGUGAGAAACAUGGUGGUGGGGAAAGGUUUAUAUAAUGAUGAAUUAAGGCAAACUUGUAGCAAAAAUUUAGCUACAAAAGGUGACUUGGGCAACAAGUAUAGAAGAAGGGUAAAAAUGGUGAAAAAAUUAGGGUUUUGGAGAACCCUAUGGACAAAAACCUAUGAGACCUCCACCAUGCGCCUCUUUAAUUAGCACAUCUCGAAUGGAACCUUGAGGCAUAUACAAUUUACCUUCUUUAAAGAGGUAUCAGUCAUACUUAUAGUACCUUUUGAAUGCCCCAUUUUCACAAGCUUUGUAGAUUUCACCAAAAUCAACAUUAGUUUCAUAAAGUUCCUUAAGAUAAAGCCAAGUAAUUUAGAGUCUAAAUUAUUAAGAAGUGCAUACCUUUUUUAUAAUACGUCCGUAAUGAAAAUCUAUUUACCUUUCUUAUAUUUAAUCUCGUAAGGAAACAAUUCAUGGAAUUCCACCCAUUUGGCAUGUCUCUUAUUUAACUUGUUUUGCCCAUUGAGAUAUUUUAAUGCCUCAUGGUCAUUGUGAAUGACAAAAUCCUUGGGUUAUAGCUAGUGUUGCCAAGUUUCCAACGCUCGGAUUAAUGCAUACAUCUCCUUAUUGUAUGUUGGGUAAUUAGGGGCAGCACCAUUUAAUUUCAAACUAAAGUAUGCUAUGGGGUGCCCAGUUUGUGUUAGAAUAACUCCAAUCCUUAUCCGUGAAGCAUCACAUUCAAUCUCAAAAGUUUUUAAAAAAUCAGGUAAAGAAAACAAUGGUGCUUUUGUCAAGCAAUCUUUAAUCAAAGUAAAAGACUUAUCUUGUACCUCACCCCAAUCAAAGUUUGAACUUUUCUUGAUAAUUCCAGUUAAAGGAGCAGCUAUGAUGCUAAAAUAAGGGACAAACCUUCGGUAAAAACUAGCAAGACCAUGAAAACUUCUUACUUGGCUUAUGCUAGUAGGUAGUGGCCACUAUCGAAUUGCUUUUACCUUCUCUUGACUAACUUCGAGGCCUUUUGAGCUAACCAUUAAACCUAGAAAAACAAUUUUGUUAGUACAAAAGGAACAUUUUUUAAGAUUUGCAAAUAAAUUUCCUUCCUUAAUACUUCCAACAUGGAUUUCAAAUGAUGAAUAUGAUUUUCCAAAGAUUUGCUAUAAAUAAAUAUACCAUAAAAAUACACUACAAAAAUUUACCAAUAAAGGACCAAAGAUCAUGAUUCAUUAAUCGCAUAAAGGUGCUUACUGCGUUAGUUAGGACAAAGGGCAUAACCAACCACUCAUACAAACUGUGCUUGGUUUUGAAUGUGGUUUUCCAUUCGUCUCCUUCUCUCAUCCUUAUAUGAUGGUAGCCACUCUUUUGAUCUAUUUUUGAGAAAAUGCGAGCUCCACUUAGCUCGUCUAUCAUGCCAUCUAAGAGUGAGAUCGGGUGUCAAUACUUGAUGGUAAUCUUAUUAACUGUGCGGCAGCCGAUGUGCAUGUGCCAAGAGCCAUCUUUCUUUGGUACCAACAGCACGAACACGACAUAUGGGCUUAGGCUUUCUCGAACAUACCCCUUUCCCAUUAACUUGGUAACUUGUCUUUGUAGCUCCUUGGCUUCUUCAAGGUUGCUUCAAAAGCUGGCUAAUUCAGGAUUGUGGCUUCGGGAGUAAAGUCUAUUUGAUGCUCGAUGCCCUUAAUGGGUGGCAACCCACUUGAAAUGUCCUCUAGGAACACAUCCUCGAACUCCUAUAGCAAAUACAUGAUAGAAUAAGGAAGAGUGUUAUCUAAACUGUUAGGACUAAAAAAAUUUUCCUUGUACAUGAGCACUAUUUCGUUCUUUAGUGGUGUCAAAAAUAGUGGCUUCGAGACCACAAAUUUGACGAGUGAGUUUGUGAAUAUUAUGAAUUAAUAUUUAUCAGUUAAAUUUAUUAUUAUUUAAGUUUUGAUUCAAUAAAUUUUGCUAAUUAAUCGUAUAGUCAAGUUCGAGUGGUUAAAUUUUGAAGGCAAGUGGUUUUAAAAAAUGAGGUAUCAAGACCUCGUUUCUAUAAACUGAGCCGAUAAAUAUUUUAUUAAAUAUUUACGGACUGUUAUUAGGGUUAUAUUAAAAAAUUGGUUAGGAAAAUUUAAUGUUUCAUUGGUUAAUUAAAGAAAAAGGAUUAAACUAUAAAAUUUGUAAAAGUUGCUUGCUAGUAAUUUUCUUAGUUCAAUGGUCUAAUUAGUUAAGAUUGAAGUAUUUAUGUUGCAAAUAAACCUUAGUUAAAAAAGGUGGAUGGUCAAAUUAUGGAAUGGAUUGAAAAUUUGGUGUUUUAUUAUAUUUUAUUUAAUUAAAUAAAAGUUAUAAUAUUAAUAAAAUAAUAGAUAGUGAUUUCACCGUCUUCAUUUGAGUUCACCUACCGAAAUGAAAACCUAAAAACUCCAUUAGAGGACCUUUAUAUAUGGAAAAACAAAAGUUAGAGCAUGUAAGUGAUUUCUUGAUUAAUUUUUCAUGAAUUUUACAUUUUUGUGAUUGUUUUCUUGAUAUCUAGUUAAAUUAGGGAUUAAUUUGAGAAACUGUCAAGUGUUAGAAAAUUUAUUAUUAAUGUUUUAGAAAGCUUUUUCCUUGAAAGAUUAAUUGUUGGGUGUUUGAUGUGGAUUUUGAGUUAUUUUCUUAAGUAAAUUUUUAUACAUUUUGAAAAUUGGGGAUUUAUUAUAUUAAAAUUGUAAAUGAGAUGGAUUUCAUGAGAAAGUUUAGAAUUUUAGAAUUGUAUAUGUAAGGUUAAAUAUUCGACAAUUUUGGGUUUAUGUAUUAGUUGUGGGAAUUCGCUUGUUUAGUAAUAGGAUUAGAUUGUAUAAAAUGUAAAUAUAUGGGCAAAUGUACAACAGUGUAAAUAAGUGAAUAUAUGUAUUGAAUUGAAUAGUUUAUAAAUUAAAGGUUAAUAAUUGGAAUAAACCAUAUUAUAGAUCAAGAGCAAGUUGAUAAUCGAGGAAAAGAGGGAAUAGUGGAAUAGUUCCUAAACUUUUAUUGUUUCUGCAGUUUAGCCCUGGUAAGUUCGUUUAAGGAUGGAAAUUAUUAUCUUUUCCAUUUUGGAUGAAGGUAAAUAGUUAUUUAUUUUAUGUUAAAAAAUUCAUUGAUAAAGAUGUAAUAAAUUAUUAUUAUGGUUCAAAUAGGGGAAUUAAUCAAAAUAAAUGAUAUGAGAGCUAAUACUAAUGUAUUUAGUGAUGUUGUAUUAUAGAUUGUCUAUUUAAAUGUUACUUUAAUUAAAGUAACUUCAGGGAAAUUAAAUUAUUAAAUAUAAUUCACUUGAGUCUUCUAAUGUUGUUUUCUAGUUUAUGGAAUUAUAUAUAUAUGUGAGCUAUCUUUUGUUAUUUAUAUAACAAUGAGAAUUGCAAGUAUCACACACAUAUAUAUGAAAUUAAGAAAAGAUUGAUAGUACUAAUUCUUGGAGUUGAAAUAAAUUAUCUGUGAAUGUAACGAGUUCUAUCGUACACGGAAAUGAAGAAGUGCCCCUAUUAGCACUUCGAUGCCCCUGUAUACACUUUGGUGUCCCUGUUUGCACAUCUAUGCCCCUAUUCACACUUUGGUUCCCCUGACUGAACGUAUGUGCCCAUGUUCUACAUCUACGGUGCUAUAAAAAUCCGAUGUGAUAACAAUGGAGCCGUCCUCAGAUUUCCAUUCCCAAAAUAUGAGAGGGAAUUGCCACGGUAAGGGCCAGGGGUGCGGGGGCGGAGCGAGGUACGAACCGCAUACCCCAGUCAAAUGAAACCUCACGAUUUGAUAAAUUUUAUCAACAAAAUCAUGUUUUUCAGGAUUUUAAUCCUUGAGGUUUUAUACCAGAACAACCCUUGUUCCAUUAACCAAUUAACUCUUAUUGGAAAUUGUAAAUACCACCGUCGCAUCAUUACAGAUUUGUUAACAGUUAACAGUAAUGACAUAAAACCGAAUAGGCCACAACCCAUGAUUAACAUUUAAUCAAUUAUCGAAAGGAACAAUUAUCAGGUUAUGCUUAGACGAUUUAAACAGUCGAAAACGUAAUAAAAUUAAAGCAUGCAUUGCAUACAAUUACAUCACCCAAGUAUUUAAACCCGAGUCCAUAUCACAUAAGUGGCUCUGAUACCAUUUUUGGAUACCGGUACCCCCAUGGCAUAGGAAAAAUUAAUAAAAAAUAGUUUCGGCGAUCCAACCCAUGGAUCCAUGUGCGAGGAAUGAAUCGGGGUGAAAUAAUAGUUUCAAAAUUACCGAAACUUCAAUCUAAGUAGACAGUGACGCCUCGACAACGAGAAUUCUGAUCUACUAUCGAACCAAGCCGCAACCUUUUAUGAUUCUGACCUCUACGUAAUCCACCCAGUUUAACAAUGAACGAAAGAAAUCUCUAAAAUUGUUUUUGGAGAAUUCUUUGCUUGACGGCUGCUAGACCUCACAAGCAAAGUUUUUUUUUAGGUUUUUUUUAAAACUCUCUACGUAUCACCCUUUUAUAAUUGGUAUAUAUAUAAUGAAUUAUAAUUCAUAAAAUUUUUAUCCGAACAUAAUAAUCAUAAUUAAAAUAAAUAAAUAUAAUAAUGUUUUUCACCAAAAAUUAUAAUUACAUUAAUUAUAACAAAGAUUUCGGUAAACUAUAUUUAUUUAAAUUUAUAUACGAACCAAAUUCAUAUAUUAAUAGAACUAUGUUCUCAUUAUGUGUACAACAUCCUUGUACAUAUAAUACAUUCGAUAUUUGAUUGCCCAAUUAAAUUAAUUUUAUAAUUAAUUUAAUUCAUGUGGCAACCAAACACAAUACCAACUAUGUUUUAUUCCGUUCAUUUCAACCAUAGGGUGUGACCCUGUAGGUUCUUGUAACGUUAGCAGUAAUACUAGAAUGAUUUUAAUGUUACAAAUAAUGAGUGGCAUCUAGCAAUGCAUCAUUGCUACCUAAGUUACAAGAAGUCAUGAUUCGACAUAACCUUUUUUUGUGAUUAACCUUUCAUGCAUUAAUCCUUAAGUCCUUUAUCUCUGGAAUGGACACAAGUCAUGGAAUAGUCACACUUGCAUAGUCCAUCCCAUAUUCCUUGAUAUCUUGAGUAGACUAUGAUAUAUAAAUAAGUAUGACAUCUCAUAUCAACUUAUUUGAGCAUGGCCAUGCAUUUCUAGUCUCACUCAAUCAAGUGGCCUAAUAUAUUACUCCCAUUAUGUAGGAGGGAUUUAUCCUAUAUUGAUCAACCGUAUCCUUCUACAUAGGUUGUGGUAUAUACAACAUCAGCCUUUAUAGAACAACUAGUUAUGAUAUACUUUUGACUGUAUCAAAAUAUACAACUCACGAUGUUGGGAUAAUGAUGAUCUCAAGUCUAAGGAUCAUAUAGAUAUUAAUCACUAUGAGUAAUGUUGUGACAAUUACAUAAUAAUCCAAGAAACAUACUCAUAGCGGGUCAGUCCAAUAUGUUCUUUAACACACAUAUUCAUACAUUGAUUUUGACACUCCAUAUCAAUGACAACUCUUUAUCAUCAAUCAACUACAUGUUAGUCUUAAUGCAUUAUUGUUGUCCUAGUCAACAAUAAUACUUGACUAAGGAUCUUUUAAGAAUAAUCAUAUUAUUCUCACGACAUUAUUAUAAAACAAUUUAUUUAUACACACAGAAAAGAAAAUGAAAUAAUAAUGGCAACGCCUUAUAUGAAUAAACAUGGUAAAUCAAGUAUGUUAUUACAACCAUCUCAUGACUGAUCUUUGGACAUACUCUUACAUUUAGCUUGUUUAAGGGGUUAAUUUGGAAGCACACGGCCUGGGACAUAGGCUAUCACAUAAUCGUGUACCACACACGGUCACCCCACACGGUCGUGUGUGCUCUAUUAGUUUUGGUAUAUGUUACACAUAGUCUGUGACACGGGCUGAGACAUGGCCGUGUAUCUCAAGUUAGUGAGUUACAUAGCCUAUGACACGGGCUGAGACAUGACUCUGUAUUCCAACUUCGAAUGCUCACAUAGUCUGACCUAUGUAUGGGACCCCUAUUAAUCAAAUUUUCAAGUUUUUCCUAAAAUUUAUGUUUUAAUUCAUUUUGAUCCCUAAUUACUUUCAAACUAAUUUUAAGGUCCCGUAAACCUAGAUUAAGGCCCAUGUGAAUAUCUAUUCUAUGAAUUGAUAUAUAUUUAUAAAAUAAUUGCAUAUUUGUUUUGACUUAAGAUAAAUUGUUCUGUUUGGCUCUGUAACACUCUGAUCCUUAAUCUAGCAACGGAGAUGGGAUUUGGGUGUUAGAAGUACAAGCAAAGGAUGCUUCAAAAGCAAAAACUUUUUGAUUUCUCUUUAUUUUUGCAAAAACACCGAACUUUCCCAACUCACACUCUUCUUUUGUUUCAUUUUUCUCUUAUGUUUUUUACUCUCGAUUUUUCAUAAAUCUCUCUUAAAUGGAGCUGAUCUUCAUAAACUUGUUUGGGGGUAAGUGGUGCCAAAGUAACGUUCUUCCUUUGAUGUUCGAAGGUAUACCAAUUGGCAUAUCCAUCAUACAAUACUUGACAAUCAAAUUGCCAUGGUCUCUCCAACAAUAAGUGACCAACAUGCAUAUGCACUACACCAUAAAGAACUUCGUCACUGUAUUUGCCAAUCGAGAAAGUGAAGACAAUUAGCUUAGUAACUUUGAGCUCACCAUCGUCGUUGAGCCAUUGAAGCUUGAAAGGAUGUGGAUGCUUGGUGGUUGCUAGAUGUAACUCGGUUUGUGCAAGUGUACACAGUUGUUCAAGUAAUAGGUAAGUAAAAUGAGUUAUCAUCUCCACAAGGAUUGUGUAUGUUAAUCGAUUAUUUGUAAAAUUAUAAAUUCACAAUUUGGUAUAAAACUCAAUAAUUUGAAUGGUGGUGUUUAGACUAAGUGAAAUUAACUAGAUGCAAAGAGUGAUCCCUAAUGCAAUUUUUAAUCUAAAUCUAAAUUAUCUAAAUGUAUGAAUGAAUUAGCAACAAAAACAAUCAACAUUAAAUGGGUUAGGAUAAUUAUAUUAAUCAAUUCAAUUUACUUUAUCAUGCUUAACAAUGUUCAGAAAUACUUCCAUGGCAACUCGAUCUUUCAUGAGUUUGGAAACUAAAUUAUGUCCUAUUGGAUCUUUUACUUAGUGAAAAUUUCAUUUUAUUGAUCAUAUUAGACUAAGGGUUUCUUAGCAUUUAUGCGAGGUGGCAGUGACAUUUAUGUUUGCAACAGUUUAAUCACAUAUACCUAAAAACUAUGCAAGAUAAUAUAGCUAACUAAAUAUAUUAUGAAACUUAACUUGGUCGGGUUUAAUGAUCUAAAUUGAGUAUUUCACUUUUCAAUUAUGUGUCUACUAUUCAUCAUCUUGUUAGGAUCGCUCAGCUAAUCAAAAUGCACCCAAUCACGUAUGAAUGAAAUGCAUCAUGAUAUUAAUUGAAAACAUGAUUGACUUAGGCCCAAACAUUAAACAUGAAUAAAAUAAAUCUUAUUGAAUUAACAUAAUCAUUCUAGAAAAUAGGAUUUAAAAAACCAUAGUUUAUGUCAAAAAUAAUAAACUCAAAGAAAACAUAAUUAAUAUAAAUAACAAGAGGAAAGAGUAAACUCUAUUCAGUUUAGCAGCCUUUCAGAUCUAUUUUGACUGAUAUGCUCCUUUGUUCUGAUCGAUACUUCUUUACUAAGGGUUUCAAGGUGGCUGACCAAAGAAUGCUUUUGACAAAGUUUUUUUGGCUAAAGGAUGGAAAGGGAGAUUGUGGCUAUGCAAGGGUAAGGAAAAUAGAAAUGGAAAAGAGAAUGAUGAAUGAGAGAUGAGUGUUGAGGUAUGAGGGAUGAUUUAAGAAGUGAUAGGAGCAUGAUAUUUAUAGGUGAAGGUAAGGGGUAGAGUUUUCUAAAAAUAGAAUUUAUAUUCUUUACUUUUCUCUCACAUAUGUUCGGCCACAGUUCAUGUAAAAGGGGAUGACUUAGUGUCCUCAUUUUAAAUUCAAACCAAAGCUAUUAAUAGCCAUAGGGUGGACGGUUUCAACAGUAAAGUUGGUGGGCUAAUUUCUAAUUAUUUUCCAACUAUAAGGACCUUCAAUUAAACUUUUGGGUAGCCAUCUACUUGUGCCGAAACUGGGCUUUAAUUCCCCAUUGUUGGACGGUUUCUCAGUCCAAUAAUUUAGUAGAUUUGUCAAUAUUUUACUGGGUCAAAUUAUCAACCUCAUGACCUAGUUUGCAUGGUCUUGCCAUCCACAUGAAUUGAUUUAUGCAUGUCCAUGUUUCAUUCAUAUUAAUCACAUCUUCAAUGGUCCUCCUAUAUAGUGAAAAAUCAUAUAUUAAUAAAUUAACAUGAAAUAAUAUAAAAUAUGUACAAAAAUCAUAUAAUUAAGUAGAAUUUCACAUACUUUCUAAAUUCAUACCCAAUAUUACUAAUUAAGUAAAAUUCAUUUAUUUUAGCAACAAUUACUCAAGAUAAACAUAUUUAUUAAGUUAAAAUAUGGUAAAAAUAUAUAGAAAAACCCUAUAUAAUAUCGAGUUUACACCCUCAAACUUAAACCAUUGCUUAUCCUGAGUAAUGUUCAUGCACAACACAACUUUUGCUAAGGCAAUUUUGCAAAAUGAUAAAGUAGCAUCAAUCUUCGCACAUAAUCAUGCAUCAACAAAAUCAUGCUCAAAAAUACUUUUUAUUGAUAAGUAGAUCGAAUGCAAAUAUUAUUUCCAAACCUUAUACUAAGUACAUCAUAAUAGAAACAUGAAUCAUAGUUUGCAUGUGCUUUCAAAGUCAUACAUAACAUUCACCAAUCAAUAUGCUUUCCUUAUAAACUAAACAUAGAGAUCCAAAGGUUUAGUUAGUGGUCUUCAUAAGUUCAUUUAAUAAUUUAUCUCCACUAAUGUAGUCGAUAUAAUAAUCUAAUCAAUAGGUAGGGAUAAAGGUUGUAAUGGGGCUAGUCUAUAGGUAGGGAUAAAGAGAAGUGAAUUUUUAGGUUCAAUCAUCUUAACCCUAACUUGUCAUGGAUCUUUCUGUAUCACAACUUCGAACAAUUGCUUCUUUGGAACACCCUCAAACAUAUUUCGAGCUCAUACUCAACCUGUACUUUUUCAGACUUUAGGCAAACUUUUCUUUUCAUUUUAUUCUUUUGAACAAACUUACAUUUGUUCAUUCAUUCAUUUUUUUUAUUUUUUUAAACAUGUGAAGAACAUGUACAUCUUUUGUAUUUUUCCUUAAACUUUGAUCACUAAGAUCAAUUCAGUUAUGAUAGGAGCAAAAGAACAUGAUAAAAUAAAAAAAUAUGAUAAGAUGACUUAUGGUGUAGGUAAUUUGUAAUAAAUAGGCCAUUAAGCUCAAAACUUAAGUUUCAAGGGUUAAAGUAAUAAGGUUGGCUUGAAAGGCUCAAACGAUCCAAAGAAAGUGUUCCUAUAUCAUAUUAGAUUCUUAUACCUCUUAGGAUUUCGCCUCAAGAAAGUUACUAAUUCAAUUCUAAAGACUUAAACUUUCAGACAUGUUUAUUUCUAAAUAAAUCAAAUUUUCAUGGCAAAUGCUACAUAAGUCUAAAGAACAUUCAAGCAUUCCAUUACUCAAGAUAACAUAAGAAUAACUUAGUUAAAAUCAGAAAUCAUGCUUACAUUUGAACAUACUUAUGAACAAAAAUUCUUUCUGAACAUUUAUUUAUUUUAGCAUACUUAAGUAAAAAGAUUGAAACAUACUUUAAAAAUUCAUGCAAAAUACCUUACCCCCUUUAAAAAGGAAUGUCAUUAUUGCGAAAACAAAGUAAUGAAUGAAAACUGAACACCAGGUAGGGUUGUAAGAAAAGAGAGGUGAGUCAUAAAAACUGCUUAAGUACCAAGUCUUUCUCAACAAUUCAAUCCUAGACAUGUUCAUUCCCAUUACAACAUCACUUCACUUUUCCUAUUGAAAAGGCAAUAAGCUUAUUUAUUCAUGGAUGCUAAUUUAUUAUAAGAAAGAAAAAAAAUUCUAACUAGGAAAUAAAAAUAAACACAUAAAAAGAAAUAAAAACUAAAGACAAGAAAUUCCCCCGUUUUAUUUAUUUGACUUAUCAUUCUCGUCUUCCUCCUUUGAUAUUUCAGCCUCGCUUGCAUUCUCAUCUUCCUUCCAUGAAACAAAAAUAUAAUCUGGGAACUCAGGAACAAAAUUGUUAGAGAUAUUUUUAAAAGUGUUUCUUACAGAAUCAUCUUUAAUAUUUGCAUAUUUCCAAUAAGCAUGUUGUUGGUUAUGCAUAAAUUUCAUCAUAUCCAUCAUAAUUGAUAAUUCUGAUUUCUUCAUAAUGUUUGAAGAAGUAGGCAUAGGAAAAGUCAACACAAGAUUAACACUUGGCUCAACUGGCUCAUUUGUGUUCGGCUCUUCUCUUGGUUCAAAGGCUUCUCAUUCAUUUAUCAAUUCUAGAUUGUUCGGUUCUUCCUUAGAUUUUGCUUCUUCUGUCUUAGUAACUGAUUUAGCUUUCAUUUUAGAUUUGUUCGAUGACUCAUCAAUUUCUGGUUCUAUCGGUUCACUUGGGUUCAGGUCAUGGACAUUCUCCACUAGCCUUUCAAGAUCAUGGGUUGUGUAACACCCCAAACCCGACCUAAGAGAUAUGGCCGAAUCUGGUGGUGUCACACUGAGGUGUUUAGCAUAAAACUUGUUGUCGUUGAAAUAUUUAAAAUUAAUUAAUCAUUUUGUUAUUAGACGGUGAUUCCAAAACGGGUUGUUCAUUUCGAAGCGUGCAUCAUUAAAAGCUCAUCACUUUUAAACGUUAUAAAUUUUCCAAAAUAUCAUUUAUUGGGGAAGUUUUUUUUGGAAAUGUUACAAAAAUGUGGUGUUUACACACCUGAUGCGAUUUGCAAAUUCCCUUCGUUUCGAACACUCUUAUUCGAAACUCAAUGACCAUCGCACCCUUGGUUCCCAGGGAAUGUGCCAAUCAACCUCGACCACCACCAAUACAAAAGUCACCAUCUUUAUAUUAGACUCAUACUUGACAAACCAUCUCAAUUGCACCCGACUUACCACUCAAUACCGUUUCUCAAAAAGUAAUAGAUUACUCCUUAUCAUACCAUAACCACUUACCAACAAUGAUAAAACAGAUUGCAGAUCAGAGAUGUAGCGUACAAAGAAUCGAGAAUCAGGAUUAAUCUAUCAGUAUUCGGCUAAUGGAGAGCACUUGAGAGAGAGGAAGAGAAAAAUUGUGUGCUCUCAAUUGAUCGACGAACCCUUACCAAAGCCGAGCGAUAUUCGAUAGAGCUUAAAAAAAGAAGGGAGAAUAGACUAGGAGAGAAAAUCAAAAAGAAAAAUGGUAAAGGAGGAGAGAAGCUAUAUUCAACCAAGUUUGAAAGAAAAGAAACGAAACCCAAAUUCUAACUCUCACCAAAUUGGCAACAACCCCAAAUCCCAAAAAUCCCUGCUCCAAAUUCAGCUACACACUCUCCAUCCACUUCCUAUCCCUUAAUUUCUACUAUUAUCUCUUCACAACAACAACCUCCCCAAAUCCCAAUAUUCUCUCCUCAAAUCUCUCCAAAUAUCCUGCCUCAAUUCUCUCUAUGACCAGUUCAAACUCCAUUUAGCAGUAUUUCAAUCCAACUCUACCACCCACACGAAUUAGGCAACAAAAUAAAUACUCCCUUUUUGAUGCACUACCAGUCGAACCUUAGACCCCAUGUACACUCCACACGCCCCUUACCACUAGACCACCAACCCCUUCGUAUCAUAUUUUAACCACAAUAAUUUAAGAACCUACUGUCUAAAUUCAAUGAUUUUAUUCAUUUAAAAUAAAAAUUUUGCAUAAGCCAAGGCUUGAACCGCUAACUUCUCAGACACUUCCAAACACUCCUAAAUCAGUUAACCAUUGAAGUAGACAAUCAUUUAUUUCACUUCCUUGCACAACUAAAUAUUUAUGUGCAGUCUCCUAACAGCUCCCUUGUUCAAAACUAUUUCUUUUAGGCCCAAAAUUCGUGGUGUUACAAUUCACCCCUCCUUAAAGAAAUUUCGUCUUCGAAAUUUCCAAUAAUCAGAUCAGUCGCAUAACACAGGCUCCACCACUACGCUUCUGCUGCGCACUCUAGUUCCAAAUUAGGUAUAUGGCCAAACGACGAGGACCCAUCUCUAACACCGCUACGACCUCUACCAUGGCCUCUUGUACCUCGUCCGUGUGUACCUCUUUGCUCAUAUGAAAUAACGUAUUAUCAGUUUAAGAAGUUUUAUGUAAUAGUUUGUAAUUCCAGUAGUUAUUAACAUUUAUCUUAUGAAAAGCAGUAAUCAGAGUUUUGUUUUCACAAAUCAAGGUCUCCCUACAGUUUCCAUAUUCUUACAGUCUCAAUUUACUCUAACUAAUGAGUUUCAGUACAGUCCUACUAUCUAUAAUAGUCUCUCAGUGUAUUUCAGUUCAAGCAGUCUACAGUAUAAAGAAAACUUAUGGAUUCUGCGCUGGAGACUCGGUGUGCCACACUUGUAAACCUUCCAAAACACUUCAAGAACAGUUUUAAAGAAAUUCCAAAUAUUUUCAAAACCCAUUCCACAGCCGAGUUUUACAACUUGGCUCUGAUACCACUAAAUGUAACACCCCAAACCCAGCUUAAGAGUUAUGGUCGAAUCUGGCGGUGUCACAUUGGGGUGUUUAGCGUAAAACUUGUUGUCGUUGAAAUCUUUAAAAUCAAUUAAUCAUUUUGUUAUUAAACGGUGAUUCAAAAAUGGGUUGUUCAUUUCCAAGCGUGCAUCAUUAAAAGCUAAUCACUUUUAAAACGUUAUAAAUUUUCCAAAAUCUCAUUUAUUGCGGAAAAUUUUUUUGUUGGAAAUGUUACAAAAAUGUGGUGUCUUUGAAAACAGUUACCUUUUGAAAACCUGUUUUUUCCUACAACGAGUAGUUUAUAUCAAACUAAAUAAAUAAAAACCCCAAUUUAAAGUUUAUAACUUUAAAGAGGCUUUUUUACAUAAAAUACCCAAAUUUAGUUACUUAUAAAUCAAAGGCUAAAAUCAAAAGUUGAUGCAGUUGUGUGGCCAUCAUUAAGUCUUUCGCAGCACCGACCCGCCUACAACUGGAUUACCUGUACAGUUAAACAGGGGUGAGUUUACGAAAACUCAAUGUGCAAUCCCCUAACAAGCAAACAGUCAAUUAAACAGUAGAUAAAUGCAGUUUGGGCCUGAGCCCUUGAUAGUAACAGUCCAGUUUAGUAUAGGCCUAGGCCCUUUCCCGUAACAGUAAAUGAUUGGGCUUGAGGCCACCACAAUGCCAGUAAUCAGUAGGGCCUUUGCCCAAUUUCAGUAAUAGUAUCAGUGGGGCCUUGGCCCAUAAUAGUAACAAAUAUCAGUCAUGCAGUGAACAAUAUGUAAUAUCAUUAAUUGAUGCAGUAACAAUACAAAAUCAUUAAUCAGUGCAGAUAUGCAGUUAGAAAUCCUACCCAAUCCAGCCUCUAGACACCACUCUGUCCCACUAAAAAAAAUCAUGUGCGGAUAAAUCGACCCACCCAGCCAGACACACCAAGAUUAGCAACCUUAUAGCUACUAGUAAAAUAAACGACAUAUAGCCAUCAGUAGGUCCACAGUCGUCUUGGGUGACCCGUGCAACCUUAUCAUCACGGUACACUUCCUUCAAAUAUAAAAACCCAUCCUCAUGCAAUAUAUCGUGACAUAAUAUCAUACGUGUAUGUAAAAUGUCAUGCUCAAUCAUAGUCAUACAUAUCAUAAAGCAAAUCAGUCAUACAUAACAUAAGACCAUAACAGUCAUUUCAUCUCCUAGGGGUAUAACAGUCAUUUUACCCUAUGGAGGUAUUUUUGUCAUUUUACCCUAUGGGGAUAUUUUAGUCAUUUUACCCUAUGGAGGUAUUUUGAUUAUUUUACCCUAUAGGGGUAUUUUGGUCAUUUUACCCUAUGGGGAUAUUUCAGUCAUUUUAUCCUAUGGGGGUAUUUCGAUCAUUUACCUUAUGGGAGUAGUUCAGUCAUUUUACCUUAUGGGAGUAUUUCAGUUAUUUUACCCUAUGGGGGUAUUUCGAUCAUUUCUCUAUGGGGGUAUUUCGGUCAUUUUACCCUAUGGGGAUAUUUCGGUCAUUUUACCCUAAGGGGGUAUUUCGGUUAUUUUACUUUAUGGGGGUAUUUUUGUCAUUUUACCCUAUGAGGAUAUUUCAGUCAUUAUACCUUAUGGGGGUAUUUCGGUCAUUUACCCUAUGAGAGAAUUUUAGUCAUUUUACCCUGUGGGGGUAUUGCGAUCAUUUACCCUAUGCGGGUAUUUCGAUCAUUUUACCCUAAAUGGUCAUAACAGUGUAAAUGGGCCCAAUGCUCAUUACUCGGCCCAAGUAGGCCCACAUGCUUGUUCGACCUGUUUAGCCCAGAUUUCUCCACGACUAUGAGAUGUACAUUGCCCAAUCCAGUAUUUGCCAUAAAUCGUAGAUUUCAUCCGUGUAGGCCCAUGAGCCUAUUGAGCCCACACGACCCUUUUCGGCCCAACGUGGCCCAUUACGGCCUAAGCCCAUGAAAAUGCUCAUGGAGGCCUCCACAGUCUAUCGCCCAUGAUUCGUGGGUUUGGCUUACCAGACGAGCGAUCGCACGCUCAUGUGGUCUCAAAUGCCUUGCUUCUAGCUUUUCAACUUUUGCCGUUCUAAAGUUACAGUGGGGUGUUUACACACCUGAUGCGAUUUGCAGAUUCCCUUCGUUCCGAACACUCUUAUUCCGAAAAUCAAUGAUCAUCUCACCCUUGGUUCCUACGCAAUGUGCUAAUCAACCUCAACCACCUCCUAAACAAAAGUCACCAUCUUUAUAUUAGACUCAUACUUGACAAACCAUCUCAAUUGCACCCCAGUUACCACUCAAUAUUGUUUCUCAAAAUGUAACAGAUGACUCCUUAUCAUACCAUAACCACUUACCAACAAUGAUAAAACAGAUUGCAGAUCAGAGAUGUAGCGUACAAAGAACUGAGAAUCGGGAUUAAUCAAUGAGUAUUCCGCCAAUGGAGAGAACUUGAAGGAGACGAAAAGAAAAAUAGUGCGCUCCCAAUUGAUCAACGAACCCUUGCUAAAGCUGAGAGCUAUUUGAAAGAGCUUAAAAAAAGAAGAAGGGAGAAUCGAGUAGGAGAGAAAAUCGAAAAGAAAAAUGGUAAGGGAGGAAAGAAGCUGUAUUCGACCAAGGUUGAAGGAAAAGAAAUGAAAUCUGAAUUCUAACUCUUACCAAAUCAGCAACAACCCCAAAUCCCAAAAAUCCCUCCUCCAAUUUAGCUACACACCCUCCAUCCACUUCCUAUCCCUUAAUUUUCUACUAUUAUCUCUCCACAACAACAACCUCCCCAAAUCCCAAUAUUCUCUCCUCAAAUCUCUCUAAAUAUCCCUCCUCAAUUCUCUCUAUGACCAGUUCAAACUCCAUUUAGCAGUAUUUCAAUCAAACUCUACCACCCACAUGAAUGAGGCAGCAAACUCCCUUUUUGAUGCGCCACCACUCGAACCUUUGACCCCAUGUACACUCCACACGCCCCUUACCACUAGACCAACAACUCUUUUGUAUCAUAUUUUAACCACAAUAAUUUAAGAACCUACUAUCUAGAUCCAAGGAUUUUAUUCACUUAAAAUAAAAGUUUUGCAUAAGCCAAGGCUUGAGCCCCUAACUUCUCAGACACUUCCAAACACUCCUAAAUCACUUAACUACUGAAGCAGACAUUCAUUCAUGUCACUUCCUUGCACAACUAAAUAUUUAUGUGCAGUCUCCUAACUGCUCCCUUGUUCAAAACCUAUUUCUUCUAGGCCCAAAAUUCAGGGUGUUACAGGUUGUAAUGCAACCUUGAACAUAUGAGCCCUUCAAGUUUGCUUUUGUUUUGUCUCGGGCCCUUAAGCAAAGUGAAGUUAUCGAUGAUGGAAAGUAAGCACUUCCAGUCUUCUUUCUAGCACAAUCAUGGAUUUCCUUGAGAAUGAUCUUCCCAACAUUGAUAGACCUUUUUGUCAUAAUUGCAUACAACAAAAGUAUUCUCUCCAUCAAGAUGGUGGGACUGUGUGAGAUAGGCAUGAAACUAUAUUGAAAAAAGUAAAACCAUACCUUAGCAAACGGUUUCAGAUAUUCUCUUCAGUAAGAUUGAUUACAAUACUUUCUUAUAAUCCAUUGGGAUCCCGGAUUUAUCAUAACAUUAAGCACUUGUGGAAGAAAAUCCCAAUUUAUAUUUGUCAUCAUGGCAAAGUAUUCAUCUUCUUCAACAUCGGGUAGGUUAAAGAAAUCAUUAAUGGACUUAGAAGUUAGGCUUACUCAAAUGAGCAUAGAACUAUCAAACUAACUCCUCUUCGGGUAAUGAUCAUGCAUCGCAAAAAUAAUUCCAAUUGAGGGCAUCAAUCGUCUUUCAAAACGGCAAAGGCACAACCAUCUUAUCAUUGCUUUCCAAGUUCAAACCUUUUUCCAGCAUCAUAGGUUGAUUUUUGAAGAUAGAAUCCAACCUUUCUUUCACUUCCUUGUCUUGAAUCACAAUGGGAUUUUUGGCAGAGGUCUUAGAAGAUCUAGUUCUUUUGCGAGAUAUGGUGAUUUUUCCCUAAAAAUAGGCAAAAUUUUGACAAUGGAUGAAGCAAGGGAUUUUGCAGCGACGAUAGGCUUGCGACAGCGAUAGCAUGCAACGAUAAUAGGAAUGCAGCAGGGAUAUGGUUGCUCCAGUAAAAGGCUCGCGAUGGCAAUAGACUGGGGUUUUUACAACAAGGGAUGAAAAUUUGGGAAGAUUUUUCAAGAUUUAGGGCCACGGCUACGAGGAAAAAGAAUGAGUGGCUAGGGUUUAAGCUAAUUUCUUAAAGGAUUGUGAGAAUUAUGGUGGUAAAGAAAGGUUUAUAUACUUGUAAAUUAGGGCAAUCUUAUAGCAAAAUUUUCGCUACUUAAGUGACUUGGGUGGCAAGUAUAAAUGGAGGGAAAAAUGGUGGCGCAAUUAGGGUUUUAGAGAACCCUAUGGACGACAAUAUGGGGUGAUUUUUCUCCUUUUUGUUGUUUUAGGCCUUGAGCCCAAACUGUAUUUACUAACUAAACUACUUAAGAUAAAAUAAAAUGAUUAGUACUUGGGCCAAAUUGACCCCUUUAUUAAGCAAAACAAAUAAAAUUAUUAUUAAAAACAAAAUAAAAAUAAAAAUUUCAAAGUUAAUUAGAAAAUUUCUUCUCAAAAGAUUACAUUAAAUUAAUUCCCAGGAAUGGUUGGACGGUUCACUUAAGGUCCAAUCUCCUUAGACAACAUUAAUUAAAUGUACUAAUUUAAGAAAAAUAAUUUCUAAGCAUGUCAUUUAUUCAAAUGAGAGAGAAAGGAAAAACUGAAAAUAAAUUAACGGUAGAGAGAGUGAAGAAGACUCCCUCAAUGUUAUUGAUGAUUCUCUCGGACAAAGGUGAUGUUGAAUAACCAUUUAUCAUACCAAAUGUAUCCAUCUAGAAAGAAGAAGUAAUGUUUCCCAACAAUCAUAUUCAAUAUUUGCUCAAAACAUAGCAGUAGGAAAUGGUCUUUUUGUUUUGUUUGGCUCAACUUUCUGUCAUUUGUACAAAUCUACCCACCCAUGAUGAUCCUUAACGAAAUUAACCCAUUAAAUGUCAUAUACGGGAUCCAUAAUCCUUGCUUUUAACCAUUGAGACUUGAGUUUACUAGUAUCAAAUACUCGAGAUUGGAUCAAUCUCAUCUGUCCCUUGAUAGAACUCUUUUUAGUAUCUAAUGAUCUUUUCAAAACCGUUAAGUCUAACUUGAGUGACUCUUCUCUUGAUGGAUUGGGUUGCUUGUACUCAUGUGAUGAUAGCUCUAAUGACUCGAACUAAACUUUUGAACUAAAUUCUUCCAUGUUAGCUUCCAAACAUGUAUCAUCAUUAUGUUGAUAUGAAGAGUCAGAUGAAAUAUCUUCCAAUAGAUCAUUGCAUUCUAAUUUUGCAGGAACCAACAGAUUUUUCUCGGAGAUAUUAAAACAAUCUUUAACCUCAUCAGGAGAUCUUAGGGCCUUAAGUACAUUAAAGGUGACUUCUUCAUCUUGAACUUGCAUGGUGAGUUCACCUUUCUGUACAUUGAUUCUUGUCCUGUCGGUUUCUAAGAAAGGCCUUUCUAGGAUGAUUGGUACGUCUUUAUCGACUUGAAAAUCUAAGAUAUUAAAGUCAGCAAGAAAUAUGAAUUUAUCAACACGUACCAAGACAUCCUUGAUAUUUCCUUCUACAUAUGCCAAAGAUUGAUCCGCCAAUUAAAGUAUAAUUGUAGUCGAUCUGGCCUGACCAAUACCUAAUUGUCUAAACACAAACAUAGGCAUUAAGUUGAUACUCGAUUCCAAAUCGCACAAAACCUUACCACAAUAGGAUUCUCCAAUAUUACAAGGUAUGAUGAAACUUCUUGGAUCCUUCAACUUAGGAGGCAACUUGUUCUAAAAAAAUAGGCAACAUUCUAUAGUCAGGGCUACAAUUUCAAAUUCCCCAAACCUUGUCUUCUUAGAGGACUUAAUUUGGUUUCCAAACCCAUAAGAGAUCGAGUUGCAUAGAAGUAAUUCUGAACAUGUUAGCAUGAUGAAACUAAGUUGAUUUGAUUAAUAUAAUUAUCCUAGUCCAUUUAGUUUUGAUUGUUUUUUGUUGCUAAAGCCUUCAUUCAUACACUUAGGUAAAUUGCAUUUAGAUUAGAAAUUGCAUUAGGGAUCACUCUUGCAUUUAAUUAAUCCAAAUUUAUUGAUUUUUUUACAUCAAAUUGUUAACUAUAAUUUUGUAAUUAAUUGUUUAAGCUUAUACAGUCCCUGUGGAGAUGAUAACUCAUGUUUACUUACUUAUUACUUGAAUGACUACGUACACUUGCGUAAACACGUUACAAUUUGUAACAAGUUUUUGGCAUUGUUGCCGGGGACUGUUGCCUUAAUAAUUUUUUGGGAAAUUAUUUUUCCAGUUUGGUUUUUAUUUAAUUUCUAACAUUACUAAUUUAUUCUUUAUUUUAUUUUUAUUUAUUUUUAGGUGUUUUAUGAGCAUAGAUCGAAUCAUUGAUUUAUUACCCGUGGACCCUGAAAUUGAGGGGACUUUUAGACAAAGAAGAUGCAAAAAAUCUGCUUAAAGACAAGCCGAGAUGGACCUUGGAAAUCAAAAUAAUAGACAAGGUAAUGGAGUCAAUCAAGUACACAACCCAAUCCUUAUAGGGAUCGUGCCAUUAGACAAUACGCUGUGGCACUCUUCAAUGAGUUAAAUCCAGGAAUUAGGAUGCUAGAUAUCGAGGCACCGUAAUUUGAAUUGAAACCAGUGAUCUUUCAAAUGCUCCAAACGGUGGUCUAGUUCAAUGGUAUGCCACAAAAAAUCCACACUUACACUUUUGAUUAUUUAUGGAGGUCAGUGAUUCAUUUAAGUUAGCUGGUGUGACUGAAGAUGCAUUGAGGUUAAAAUUGUUUCUGUACUCGUUACGAGAUUGAGUACGAGCGUGGCUGAAUUCAUUGCCACCAAGUUCAAUAUCUACUUUGUAAGAAUUAACAGAAAGGUUUUUUGUUAAAUAUUUUCCACCAAGUAAGAAUGUAAAGUUGUAAAAUGAGAUAACAACUUUUCAACAAUUGGAUGAUGAGUCCUUGUACGAGGCUUGCAAAAGAUUCAAGGAAUAACUUCGUAAGUGUCCUCAUUAUCGGAUUCCUCAUUGUAUCCAAUUUGAGACAUUUUAUAACAGUUUCAACGCAUAUACAAGAUUAAUUAUGGAUGCUUCUACGAAUGGUGUGAUUUAGUCUAAGUCUUAUAGUGUGACUUAUGAGAUCAUUGAAAGGAUUGCAAGAAAUAACUACCAAUGGUUGACAAAUCAAACAGUUUCAGGAAGAUGUGUAGUCGGAGUGCAUGAAGUGGACGCACUGACUUCACUUUCUACUCAAGUAUCUUCAAUUUCCUCUAUGUUAAAAUAGUUUACCACUAAUGGUUUAAAUAAUUUUGCAGCUCAAUCACCAAGUCAAUAUCAUGUAGUUUCUUGUGUAUACUUUAGGAAUGGUCAUUCUUUCAAGAAUUUCCCUUCGAAUCCCCAAUUAGUGUACUAUGUAAAGAAACAGUAUCAAAACAAAAUUGGACAAGGACUGAAGUCAAAUUUCUACAAUACAUUGUGGCGAAACUAUCCAAAUUUUUCUUGGGGUAAUCAAGGAAAUGGAUCGAACAAUAACCAAAUGCAGUAUAGACCUAACCAAACCUAAGGGUUUAAUCAACAAGCCCUAAAACCACCUCAAAUUGAAUCAUGAAACAAUUUGGAGGACUUGUUGAAGGCAUACAUGGCGAAAAAUGAUGCCUUGAUCCAAAGUCAAGCAGCAACGCUGAAAAAUCUAGAGAACCAAAUGGGUCAAUUAGCUACUGAGAUUCAUAGUAGACCACAAGGAGCCUUGCCAAGCGACACAGAAAAUCUGAGAAAUUUGGGUAAGGAGCAUUGCAAAGUGGUAGAAUUACGAAGCGUUAAGACUUUAGAGCCUAAGAAGGUUGUGGUUCAAGAUGAGCCUGCUAGAAAGGAGGAAAGUCAACUGACAAUUGAAGUUCUUACAAUAGAAAAAUCUAAUGUAGAAAUAUUUGAUGAGGUAAACCCUAAACUAGUGAAUUCUAAAAUGCUACCAACCUCUUUUGUAGAUUUACCUCCUCAAAAAAGUUACCCAUAUCAACCUAGAGUUCGAUAUCCUUAAAGACUUUAACAGAACAAGCAGAAACAAGAGGUACAAUUCAAGAAGUUCUUUGAUGUUUUAAAGUAGCUACAUAUCAACAUUUUUUCGGUAGAGGCUUUAGAUUAAAUGUCCAAUUAUAUGAUAUCUUGUCCAAAAAAAUGACUUAGUGAGUAUAAGACUGUCACUUUAAUGAAGGAGUGUAGUGCGUUCUUACAGAACUGCCUCCGAAACUGAAGGAUCCUAGAAGCUUUACAAUACAUUGAACAUUGGUGAAUCAUAUUGCGGUAAAGCUUUGUGUGACUUAGGAGCAAGCAUCAACUUGAUGCCCAAAUCUAUUUUCAAGCUGUUGGGAAUAGGAGAAGUAAGACCCACUACUGUAACGCUUCAACUUGCUGAUCGAUUGUUAGCAUAUUUCAAAGGAAAGAUCGAGGAUGUUUUGGUAAGAGUGUCAAUAAAUUUAUUUUUCCUGCUGAUUUCAUUAUUUUGGAUUUUGAAGCAAACAAAGAAGUUUCGAUCAUCCUGGGGAGACCUUUCCUAGCCACGGGAAGAACAUUGAUAGAUGUGCAAAAAGGCAAACUCACCAUGCGAGUUCAAGACGAUAAGGUAACAUUUAACGUUCUGAGGGCAAUGAAAUUUUUUCGUUCAAUGGAAGAGUGCUCAGUAAUGGAGGAAUUAGAAAUCUUAGUUUCUAUGGAAGGCAAUUCUGAAGAAGACACAUUGGAGAUGAAAAAGGUAAUCAAUGUUUGGCUUCGAUGGAAGCCAAUUCAAGGAGUUAUAUUCAACCACCACGGUUCGACCUACUAGAGUUGGAAGUUCAAGAAAUUGUACAACCCAAGUCAUCAACUAAAUGUACUUCUAUCUCACUUGAAAUAUAUUUAUCUCGGUCAUAGUUCUACUUUGCCUGUGAUUAUUGUAACGGACCUAACAAAACAUCAAAAGGAGCAAUUGAUUGCUAUCUUAGAGAAAUUUAAGAAGACAAUUGGUUUGACCAUAGAUGAAAUACGAGGUAUAAGCCCUUCCUGCUGUAUGCAUAAAAUUAUUUUAGAGGAAGGUGAAAAAGGUAAGAUUGAUGGGCAAAGGAGACUUAACCCUAUCAUGAAACCAGUGGUUCAAAAGAAGGUAAGUAAGUGGUUAGAUGUGGGAAUUAUUUACCCCAUUUCAAAUAGUUCUUUUGUAAGACCAGUAUAAUGUAUAUCAAAGAAAGGUGAGAUCACAAUUAUUGAGAAUGAACGAAAUGAGUUAAUCCCGAUGAGAACUGUCAUGUGUUGGAGAAUCUAUAUUGACUAUAGAAAGCUAAACAAAGCUACUCAUAAGGAUCAUUUUCCUUUACCUUUUAUGGAUCAAAUGCUAGAUUGACUGGCAAGUAACAAAUUUUAAUCCUUUUUAGAUGCAUAUUCGAGAUAUAACCAAAUAUUUGUAGCCCUAGAAGACCAACAUAAAACUACUUUUACCUGUCCAUAUGGUACAUUGGCUUUUAAGCGAAUACCUUUCGGCUUAUGUAAUGCACCUGCCAUAUUUUAGCGAUGUAUGAUGGCAAUUUUCACUAAUAUGGUGGAAAAUUAUGUUGAGGUUUUCAUGGAUGAUUUCUCUAUUUUCAAUAAUACUCACAAUAUUUGCUUGAAUAAUUUGGCUAAGGUACUCAAAAGAUGUAAGGAGACGAAUAUUGUCCUUAACUAGGAGAAAUGUUAUUUUAUGGUUAAGGAGGGAAUUAUCUUAGGGCACAAAAUUUCCAAGAAAGGAAUCAAAGUGGAUAAAGUAAAUGUGGACGUAAUUGAAAGAUUACCACCUCUAGUUAGUGUGAAAGGAGUUAGAAGCUUUUUAGGCCAUGCUGGUUUUUAUUGUAGAUUUAUAAAGGAUUUUUCAAAAAUUUCUAAACCUUUAUGUGUACUUUUAGAAAAAGUUGUUGUUUUCUUAUUUUAACAAAGCAUGUUUAGAAGCUUUUGAAAUAUUGAAAAACCAGUUAACUUCAGCCCCAACAAUUAUCACACCUGAUUGGAACAUGCAUUUUGAGUCGAUGUGUGAUGCAAGCGGUUUCGCUAUUGGAGUUGUGAUGGGACAAAGAAGUAACAAAAUGUUUCGUCCUAUCUACUUGCUAGUAGAACUUUGAAUGGAGCCCAAAUCGAUUAUAUUUUAACUGAAAAAGAACUCUUUGCUAUAGUUUUUGCUUUUGGCAAGUUCCAUUCAUAUCUUAUAUGUACCAAAGUAACAAUGUUUACCGGCCAUACGGCUAUUAAGUAUUUACUCACGAAGAAAGAUGCUAAACCGAGGCUAAUUCGAUAGAUUCUUUUGCCCCAAUAAUUUGACCUUGAGAUCCAAAAUAGAAAAGGUGUUGAAAAUCAAGUAGCCGAUCAUCUAUCAAGGUUGGGACAAAAUAAGGUAACUUCUUCACUUGUUCUAAUUAAUGAAAAUUUUUCUGAUGAAUCUAUCUUCGAGGUAAGAAAAAUCUAUGAAAUAUCUUAGUUUUCUGAUUUUGUUAAUUACUUAGCAUGUGGAAUAAUUCCUCAAAAAAUGACGUACCCAUAAAGAAAGAAAUUCCUUCAUGAUGUCGGUACUAUUUCUAGGAGGACUCAUUUUUAUUUGAACAAUGUACAAAUAACAUAAUCAGGAAGGGUGUAGCUGGGAGUGAGAUUGAGGAAAUUUUGUACCACUGUCAUUCAUCUCCGAGUGGGGGACAUUAUGGUGGUUCACAAACAGCAGUAAAGAUUUUACAGGUUGGGUUCUUUUGGCCUACAUUGUUCAAGGAUGCUUAUGCAUAUGUAUGGAACUGCGAUAGAUGCCAAAGGAUUGGAAACAUAUCAAGAAGGAACGAGACGCCCUUAACAAACAUUUUGGAGAUAGAACUUUUCGAUGUAUAGGGCAUUGAUUUUCUAGGCCUGUUUCCUUCUUCAUAUGGUAAUAAGUUUAUUUUGGUAGUUGUGGGCUAUGUAUCCAAGUGGGUUGAAGCUGAGGCCUACCCAACUAAUGACACUAAGGUAUUUAUGCGAUUCCUGCAUAAGGACGUAUUUACACGGAUUGGGACUCUAGGGACCUCACUUUGUAAAUAAGUGUCUUAAGUGGUGGCUUGAUAAGAUUGUUAUUUCCUAUCACCUACAAUCUAAUGGGCAAGUUGAAAGGGUGGAUCUAGAAAUCAAAGGUAUACUUGAAAGGGUAGUGCGCCCUAACAGAACAGAUUGGUCUCGAAGGCUCGACGAUCCAGUAUGGGCCUAUCAAAAUACUUUUAAGACAUCAUUAGGGAUGACUCCAUAUCGGUUAGUUUUUGGAAAGGCAUGCCAUUUGCCGCUUGAAUUGGAGAAUAAAACUCACUAGGCUUUGAAGCAAUUGAAUUUUGAUCUUAAGCAAGCUGGUGAGAGAAGGAUGUUACAACUCGAUGAGUUGGUAGAGUUGAGGUUACUUUUAGAUGAGAAUGCCAAUAUGUGUAAGGAAAAAUAUAAGAAAUGGCAUGACAGUCGUAUUGAACCUCGUGAGUUCAAAAAAGGUGAGAAAGUAGUGUUGUUUAAUUCAAGGCUAAGGUUAUUUCUUCGAAAACUCAAAUCCCGAUGGAAAUGACCUUAUACCAUCUACAAAGUUUAUCCAUAUGGAGCUGUAGAAUUGUACGACAACCAUGGAGUUACGUUUAAAGUUAAUGGUGAAGUUAAGAGAAUUAAAACCUCGUUCAAAUUAAUAGACCCUUAAUCUCUCAUGAGCCUACUUUUUAAUAAAAUGUUAGAAAUUAUUUUUUUAAAUUAGUACAUUUAAUUAAUUUUGUCUAAGGACAAGGGAACUUAAGCGGGACCGUUGUGACCCCUCCAACCUUUCCUGGGAAUUAAUUUAAUGUAAUAUUUUAAGAAGAAAAUUUCAAAUUUAUUUUAAUCUUUUCUUUGUUUUAUUUUUAUUUUUAAUUUUUAUCUUUGUCUUUAAUUUUAAUUUUAAUCUUUAUUUUUAAUUUUAAUGUUAGUUUUAUUUAUUUUAGUAAAGGGGGUCAAUUUGGCUCAGUACUAAUAAGUUUAUUUGUUUUUAAGCACACCAAUUUUUAAAUAAAGUUUGGGAUCAAGGCCUAAAACAAUAAUUAGGAGAAAUUUAACUCAUUUAGUCGUCCAUAGGAUUCCAUAAAGCCCUAGUUUUUGCCACCAUAUCAUCCCUCCAUCUUACUUGCUGCCUAAGCCACUUAAAAUUAGCUAAAUUUAAGCUACAAGUCCAAGUCAUUUAAAUUAUCUAAAUUUAAGCUACAAAAUUACCCUAAUUCAUCACUAUAUAAACCACUCUCUACCUUCAUAAUUGUCACAACCCUUCAAGCUAUUUUAUGUUCAUUCUUUUCCCUCUUAGCCGUUGACCUAAAUCCCAAAAUUUCUUCCUUGUUAUAAGCCUCUAGUAUUGCCGCCGCACGACUUUUGCUAGAGCAGCCCCUUUGUCGUUGCAUCCUAUCACUGUAGCAAGCUUCGUGCUACUGCCAGUUCAUCACUGCCACAAAUCGAUCACCAUUGCAGCACCUUGCUCUCAUCCUUUGCCAAUUGCUUUUUCAAUUCUUAUGCCAAAAUUUUGCUUAAUUUUCGGGAAAAAUUUCUAUAUCCCGUAAGAGAACUAGAUCUUCCAAGACCUCUGACGAAAAUCCCAUUGUAAUUCAAUACAAAGAAGUGAAAGAAAGGUUUCAUUCAAUCUUUAAGAAUCAACGUAUGAUGUCGGAAAAAUGUUUCAACUAGGAAAGCAACGUUAAGAUGGUUGUUCCUUUGCCAAUUCAAAAGAUGAUUGAUGUCCUCAAUUGGAAUUAUUUUUGUGAUGCACGAUCAUUACCUGACGAGGAGUUAGUUCAAGAGUUCUAUGCCAAUUUGACUAAGCCGGAUGCUACUAAAGUUCUUGUUCACAAGAAUAAGGUACUCUAAUUUCUAAGUACAUUAAUAAUUUGUUUAACCUACCUGGUGCUGAAGAAGAUGAGUAUUUUGCCACGAUGACAAACAUACAUUGAGAUUUUCUUCAACAAGUGCUUAAUAUUGUGACAAAUCCAGGAUCCCAAUAGAUUAUAAGGAAGUAUGGUAGUCACUCUUGCUAAAGGGAAUAUUUAAAGUCGUUGGCUAAUAUAUGGUUUUACUUUGUUUGAUAUAGUUUCAUGCCUAUCUCUCACAGUUUCACUAUCUCAAUAGAGCGAAUACUUUUGUUGUAUGUAAUUAUGACAGAAAGGUCCAUCAAUGUUGGGAAUAUAAUUCUUAAAGAGAUCUUUCAUUGUGCUAGAAAGAAGACUGAAAGUGCUUAUUUCUCAUCAUUGAUAACAUCACCUUGCUUAAAGGCCCAAGUCAAGACAAAAGAAAACCUAAAGGGCCCAUAUGUUCAAGGUUGCAUUAUAGCCCAUGAUCUUGAAAGGUUAGUGGAGAAUGUCCAUGAAUUAAACCCAAUUGAACCAAGUGAACCGAAAAAACUAGAAACUAAUGAGUCAUCGAACAAGUCUUAAACUGAAGCUAACUCUGUUACUGAAAUUGAAGAGGUAGAAUCAGAGGAAAAACCAAAUAAGCCUGAACAGGUAAAGGAACCAGAAACUUCUGGACCAAAAGAAGAGUUGAAUGUUGAUGAGCCAGUUGAACCAAGUGUUGAUCCAGAGUUGAGUAAUCCAAUGCCCACUUCUUCAAAAUCUAUGAAGAAAUCAAAAUUGUCAACUAUGAUGGAUGUGAUGAAAUUUAUGCAUAACCAACAACAGGCUUAUUGGACAUAUGCAAAAGUUAGAGAUGAUUCUGUAAGAAAUACUUUUAAAAAUAUCUCUAACAGUUUUGUUCUUGAGUUCCCAGAUUAUAUCUUCGAGUCAUGGAAGGAAGAUGAUAAAGAAAGCGAGGACGAAACAUUAAAAGAGGGAAACGAGGAGGAUAAGUCAAAUAAAUAAAAAGAGGGGAGUUCUUUUCUUUUAGUUUCUAUUUCUUUUUAGGUGCUUAUUUUUAUUUCUUACUUAGUAUUUUGCUUUCGCAUAAUUAAAUAGCAAGCAUGAAUAAAAUAUGCUCCAUGCCUAUUCAAUAGAAAGAAAAUAAAGUGAUGUGGUAAUAGGAAUGAACAUGUCUAGGAUUGGAUUGUUGAGAAAGGCUUGGUACUUAAGAAGUCUUUAUGACUCACCUCUCUUUUCUUGCAACCCUUCUUGGUGUUCAAUUUUCAUUCAUUACUUUGUUUUCGCAAUGGGGACAUUACUUCUUUUAAAAGGGGGUAAAGCAAUUUCGUAUGAAUUUUAAAGUAUGUUUCAAUCUUUUUACUUAAGUAUGUUGAAAUAAAUGACUAUUCAGAAAUAAUUUUUGUUCAUGAAUCUAUUCAAAUGCAAGCAUGAUUUUUUAUUUUAUUUAAGUUAUUCACAUGUUAUCAUUGAAUAAUGGAAAGCUUGUAUGAUCUUAGUCUUAUGUAGGAUUUGCCAUGAAAAUUUGAUUUCUUUAGAAAUAGACAUGCAUGAAGGUUUAAGUCUUUAGAAUUGACUUAGUAACUUUCUUAAGGCGAAAUCCUACGAGGUAUAAGACUCUAAUAUGAUAUAGGCACACUUUCUUUGGAUUGUUGAGCCUUUCAAGCUGACUUAAUGAACUUUAACCCUUGAAACUUAAUUUUGAGCUUAAUGGCUUGUUUGUUGCAAAUGACCUACAUUAUAAGCCACAUUAACAUCUUUUUUUUUAUUUUUAUCCUAUUCUUUUGCACCUAUCUUAACCAAAAAAUUUUCAUGGUGAUCAAAGUUUAAGGAAAUUAUGAGAAGAUGUACAUGCUCUUCACAUGUUCAAAAACAAGAGAGAAAAAUGAAUAAAUAAGCAAAGAAAAUUUUGCUCAAAAGCAAAAGAACAUAAGAGAAAAUAAAGGAAUGGUCAAAGUCUCAAAAAUAAAGAGCAAAGUUUGCUCAAAGUUCAAGAAAAAUAAAAGUGGAGCAUAAGUUCGAAAUAAGUUUGGGGGUAUUCCAAAGACCCAUUUGUAUGAAAUUUGUGACGCCAAAUGAUCUAAGACAAAGUUAAGGUUAAGAUGUUUUGAACCUAAAAAUCACUUCUCUUUAUCCCUACCUUUAGCCUAGCCCCAUUACAACCUAAUAAAAGACCUAUUGAUUCGAUGAUUAUACCGACUACAUUAGUGGAGAGGGCCUAGAUAGAUAUAUGAAGAAAAAAGAAAAUAAAGAUUCACUUUCUUGUUUUCAAAAAAAUCAAGAAACCAAAUCUUGGUCUAAUUAUGCGGCUUUUGGAGAUUUCAAGAAUCAAGAAAAUCAAUAUUUCAAAUCUUGGAAUUCUUUGUCCAAGAAACUGAAUCUUGAAGUUGGUGUUUGAUGGCUUACAUGAUGAUAACUCUUGAAAAGAGUUAUAAUUCAUACUUUUAGACUUAGUUAAUUGCUUGUACAUAAGUAAAAUUAGCUUCAUUUGAGGUAAUUGCAAGAUUAUUUCUAGUCAAUCGAGCAGUGCAUCUAAGAACUUGUUGUGGCUGAAUGACAGGUUUAAAGGAGAAGGAUAGCAGAGGAUAGGUUUGUUGAGGUAUUAUGAGAGGUUUCCAUGGCAAUGCUAGUUAAGAAAAAGACAAACACCUAGUAGCAAUGAGAGCACUUAGCAUUUGGUCCCCUACAUGCACGAGUAAUGGAGAAUAUUCACCUUAAAAUUAGUGAAAAAGCAUUCAUUGGCUGACAAGUUUUACCCUAGAGGAUAACCCAAAUAUAAAAGGCAAUAAAAAGUGGAGAGACGAAAGAGAAAAAAACUGUAAUUGUCCUAAUCUUGGACAGAGGUCUCAUUGUGGUAAGAAGGGUAAGUUGAGCUGACUAUGAACUUUGGUGAAGACAAGAAACAAGACACCAAGUUGGGGGGAUUGGAGUUUUGAAACCCAGAUUUCUUUCUCUGCAUUUUGUUUCAAUUCUUCUAUUCUAAACUGAUAUUUUGGGAUAUUGAUGAUACGAAAACAACUUCAAUUUGUGUAGCCCAGCCAUGAGCUAACUUAAUAGGGCUGGGGUUUGUUUUGAAUGAUGUUUUAACUUUGAUUAAUGUUUAUGGUUUAAUAUGGUUCAUAUUAUUGCUUUACCCAAUGGAUUUUUUUGUUUAAAUGCUUAAGAGAGUGUUGAUGAAUGCUGAAUAAGUCUUAAGGUAGCUUGACACCGACUUGAAUAGGUUACCUGGAUCGAAGUUGGGUAAUAUAAAUGAGUGCUAAGUGAAAUACUCAUGUCAACGCUAGAGAUAGAGCCUUACCUUAUACGAUUUAAAGGGUUGAGAUUUAGCAGUAGUUGCUAAUCCUAAGCCUAUAGACAUAUAAUGCCUUAGGGGUGAGUAACCCUAGGUCUUGCUUUCGGCAGAGUUAAAACACAUUAGUACCCAAUCGAACAAUAAGUUCGCCAUAGUUUUGCCAUGGCAUUGUUCACGAGUUAGCAUAGACCCCUUAGUAAUCCCAACCUUCACGACCAAUAUUCGAACCUUGCUAAAGUCCUUAGUACUCUUCUUUGAUUUGUUGCAAUGGUAAUCUUUACUAGUAUACUUCAUUACUUUCACUUCUAAUGUGUUAACCCUAUUUUAAUUUCAUUAAACAUCAUUUGAUACAUUUAUCUUUUCUAUUCAAUUGUGAUAACUUAGACAAAGAGCACUCAUCCAAUCUUCGUGGGAAUCAUACUCACUCAUCACUUUAUUACUUGAUUCGAUGUGUACACUUGCACAAUUCGCACAUCAUAUUCACACGCGACAAGUUUUUGGCACCAUUACCUGGGAUUGGCGAUUGGUAACUUUAGUUUUUGUUAUUACAAUUUUUAUAGUUUUAGUUGCUAAUUUGUUUGUUUCAUGAUCUCAAUAGGUCUGGCGUAGAGGCAUUCCUAUUGAAGGACUCUAUCCCUUAGAUCUAGAAAUUGAAAGGAUAUUGCUAAGAAAGAGAACAGAACAAAGAGAAAUGAAUCAAGACAGUAACAAUCCACCUGCUAUGAAUGAGAAACUUAAUCCGAAAGCUCCAAAUGUUAAUCCUCAUGCUGCUUAGAUGUUUGAUGAUCGGGAUAGGCCAAUUCGAGAGCAUGUAGUGCCUAUCUUAGACAACCUAAGUCCUAGAAUAAUCAAGCCACAAAUUCAAGCUCCCCACUUUGAACUAAAACCUGUAUUGUUCCAGAUGCUUCAAUCAAUUGGUCAGUUUGGUGGUUUGCCAAUUGACGAUCCCAGAUUGCACUUGAGACUUUUCUUGGAAGUCUAAUAUUAUUUCAAAAAAUAAGGUGUCCUUGAAGAUGGCUUAAAGCUUAAACAGUUUCCCUAUUCUUUAUGAGAUCGUGCUAGAACAUGGCUCAAUGCUUUACCAUCUAGAAUAAUAGAAUCAUGGAACGAUCUCUACCGAAGAUUUCUAUUGUGAUAUAACCCACCCAAUAUGAAUGCCAAACUGUGAGAAAUGGCAUAACAUCCUUUAAGCAACUAGAGGAUGAAACAUUGUAUGAAGCAUGGGAAAGGUUCAAAUAUUUUCUUAGGAAAUGUCCUAUGCAUAGAUUUAAGCAUUGGACCCAAAUGGAGAUGUUCUACAAUGGUAUAAAUGCACAAACACGAAUUGACAGCCCUAAUGUGACCCUAGUCGGGAAGUGGUUUCGGGACCACUAAACCGAGUCAUAAAAAUAAUUAACCGUCAUAAAUGAUGCUCAUUAUAUGUACAUGUGCAUGUGUGAAAAUUUCGUGUUUGAAUUUUGUUUAAUUGUAGGUGAAUUUUAGUAAAUAGGACUUAUGUGAGAAAAUUUUGAAAUGUGAUAGGUCAAAGCAUAAGGAUCUAUUAGUGCAUGAAAUAAAAAGGGGGGACUUGCAUGUCAAUUUCCCCCCCUAAUUAGUAGUGGUCGGCCAUGACAAGCAUGGUAGACCAAGUGUGAUGGGCAAGAGCUGUCAUAAACAUGUUGAGUUAGUGUUUCAUGGGAAGUAUGAUAAAAUAAGGAGCAUGGGCAUAAAAUAAUGAAAGGGAAUAUGAUGAAAACAAAAAAAAGUGUGUGGUUGUCCCCCCCCAUUUUGCCGAAACUAGAAAGAAAAACAAAAAAAAAAGUGUUCAUCCUUUGGUUCAUCCUUGGCCAAAAAUUUUAAGGAGGAAGGAAGAAGAAAGGUUGAAGAGGUUCGGCCAUGCAUGUAACUAGGCUAAGGUAUGUUUGAUGAUGUUCCAUGAGAUGCAUGCAUGUUUUAGUUGUUAGCUUGAGUUCUACCUAGCCCAUGGUCUAAAUCUUGCUAUGUGAUGGAAAUGACACUCGGCCAUGGAUGCAUCAUUCUUGCUUGGUGUUGAUGUUGUGUUGGUGAGAUACCAAGUUAUUUUUGUGACCAAGUUGAGAUUUGAAUUUUUGAAUGAGUAAGGUUUUCGGCUAUGGUAAAUAUAAGGGUGAUGGAUGUUGUGUCAUGCUAAAUCUAGAUGAACAAUGUUAGUGCUUAUAUCUCAAUAUUCAUGAGUUUCUUUCUUGGUUUUACCUCAAACCCAUGAAGUAUUUUAAUUGGUGUUGUUAGAAGUUUCGGUCAUGGGAUUAUAAGCUUGUUAGUUUUGAUGAUGAAAUUUAUGCCUUGCAAGGGUAAAUGGUGUCUUGAUGCAUUCGGCCAUGGUAGAAAGUAGAAGUGAAAUGGUAGUAAGAUAACAUGCAAAAUUGUUAGUAUUUGAUUUCUAGUGUAUACAUGCGUAUUAGCCGAGUUUUGAAUUUGAAACGAAACGGUAUAUAACCAAUACAAGUAACCAUACUUGUGGGAAGUCUUAAGCAUAUAAUUGGCCUCAACAUAUACAUGCAUACUCGGCCAAAUGAGAAGAUUUGUGUUGCAUGCAUUCGGUUAGAGGCAAGCAUAUUGAUGCCUAUAUCUUGGUUAGGACAAUCGGCUAAAAGGGAGUAUGGGUUAAUAUGUUGAGUUGAUGCAUGAUUUCACAUGUAUGUGACUUUAAUGUCUAAUGUAUAAAUAUGGGCUAAGUGCCUCGUGUUCCUCUUUUCGAUGCUCAAAUGAUUAAAUCAAUUUAUUUGUUUAAUUAAGCUCAAGAGCAAAAGGGAACUAAAUCCGAUAAAGGGAAGGAAAAAGUGGUCGAAUAGCCAUCGGAAUCGUUCGACAACAUCCGAGGUAAGUUCUUGAGUAAUAGAGCUUAAAUUAUGAUUUGAUUAGAUCAUGUUUUAAGCAAAUCAAAAUCAUGCUCUUUGUGUGUGGCUAUUGAGCCGAAAUUGCAAGAAUGAUAAGUGUCUUGUGUUUGAGUUUUGCUAACGAAAAUGAAAUACGAAUGUGCCAUGAUUUAUUGUUAAAUGUGCAUGGUUAUUUGAACGAUGUCCGGGCUAAGUCCCGAAGGCUUUGUGCUAAGUGACCAUAUCCGGACUAAGAUCCGAAGGCAUUUGUGCGAGAUACUAAUUCCGGGCUAAGCCCGAAGGCAUUGGUGCGAGUUACUAAAUCCGGGUUAAGUCCCGAAGGCAUUUGUGCGAGUUACUAUAACCGGGCUAAGUCCCGAAGGCAUUUGUGCGAGUUACUAUAACCGGGCUAUGUCCUGAAGGCAUUUGAACGAGUAGCUAUAUCCGGUUAAAUUCCGAAGGUAUGUGAUUUGGGAAUGAAUGAUCUUGCUGUAAAAAUUUCAGUUAAUACGCUUGAACAUCCCAACAUUGAGGUAUGUUUCGUAUGUGCUUUGAAUUAGUUGAGCCCUUACAAAUAAGUAUUCGCUCAGUUGAUAAAUGAGCUACCGGCCUUUGGCUAAGUUGAUCUUUUGUGUAUGAACAUAAGGGUUGGUAAUGU
rnacentral:lncRNA from 1 species